rnacentral:lncRNA from 1 species
GUCUCAUUUCCUUUUGGCAUAUUUAGAGAGAUUUAACACUACUUACCUUUCACACAGCAAUUUAGAAACUGAAAGCAAUGCAUAUGGGGGGAGAGACAAGCCAAAGUACAUAUAACAAGAAACAAAAGCGUUUAAUUCUCAAAUCAUUGUCAUGAAUAAUGCCAACAAGGACUCAUCAAUAAAGUGCAAAAUUAAACAACAUUAUUCAUAUAGACUUUGUUCAUGGUUCGGGCCAGACCCGGCCCAAAAGGAAACUGGGCCGAAAUCAGCCCAAAAUAAAUUGGGCCUACUUUCUACAGGGCUGGACUCAGCCCAGCCCAAAACCACAUGAUUGGUUACUGUUCACACAGUAACCGGGUAAUUAUUUCCUUGCUUGCAGAACGUGCACAGUGCACGUUCUGCAUGCAAGACGAUGAACAGUAAACAGAGAUAAGGGUCAGAGGGCUGACCUGUGGUGGCUCUGAAAGCGGUGCUGCUGGCGGUUGCUGACCGGAGGAUGACCGGGAGGGUGAUCGGCCUUUCUUCCUUUCUUCUCUGCUGUUUUCUUCUUCAGCUCUGUUCUCCCCUGUUUCCUUUGCUUCUUCUGUCAACCAUGUUCUUCCUUCUCUGCAGCGGCUUCGCGGAGGUGCUGGUGGUGGUGGAGAGGAAACCGACGAUGCCUCCCGGUGGUUAUGAAGGUGGCAGUGGCUGGGAAGUCCAAUAACAGCAGCUGUUUUCUUCUUCUUCUCCUGCUGCUCGCGAGGCAGGCGCUCCCUUUUUCUUGAAGCAGCAGCGCCGGGUGGGAGGAAGGUGAUGAACUGAGGCAGGAUGGUGGUGGCGUUUGGCAAUGCUGGUGCAGUUGGCGUGUUACUGCAGCUGUUCUCCUUUGUUUUCUCUUCUCCCGUUCACAACUGAACUUCUCCUCCUUCCUCUCCAAAAAACCACCCCUGUUGUUUCAGCGUUGCUUGGCCCCUUUCUUCCUUUGCUUCUUUCCCGUUCCCCUCUCUUUUGUUCAAAAAAACUUUCCCCCUCUUUUAGUUUUCCAGCCCUCUCUCUCGUUCCCUCAAAAAAACUCCCCUUUGUUGCUUGUGUUGAGAGCAGUAUUUAUAGGCUAGAGGGGCGCGGGCUGCUGUUGCGUGUGGGGAGCAGGGCACGCGGCAGCUGGUCGGCCAGUGGGCGCGCGGCGGGUGGUCGGCCAGUGAGUGCGGCUCCCUCGGUUUUCGCAGCAUGCGGGAAGAGGAACAGUGUCAAAACGACACUGUUCAAAUUCUUCUUUUUUUUAUUAUAUAUUUUUUUAUUUGUGAGGCCCAAAAAUGGGUUACUACAACCACCUCCUACGUAUUUCUUAAGACUUGUAGGCAUACCACAUCGCAUUCCAGAUUAUUCAAAUGCUUAUACUGGAUGAAAUGUUUCUCCAACUCCUCCUAUGUAUUUUUUAGUACUUCUAGGAUUAAAAAAAUUAUAAAAAAUAUAGUCUUGCAUUGCUACCAGAUCCAAGUUGUUUAAGUCUAGCAUAACUAUCAAAUUUAAAUGGCUUAAAACAUUUUUUAUAUUCUUAAUAUUCUGAUGUAGAAUGCAGUACACGCAAUGCCAAUUAUUUUAGAGAAGAUUUGAUAGUCCACUUCGAAGAGCUGUUUUUGUACGAUUUUAUUAUUAGGUAUUUCUUAAUAAUGUUUUUCCAACUCCUCCAAUGUAUUUCUUAAGACCUCUAGGAGAGAGGCAUGAGGAGAAGGAAAAAUCAGGGUCUAAAAGAAUCUCUCUACAUGGUUUGCAAACGUACUGUCAAUGGUUGCUGAUAUGUGACAUGCCAUGGAAUGGUUAGCAGCUAUGCUGCUGCUGCUGCUGCUGCUUCAGAGUUAAAUUACUAUACGAGCUGGCAAUUACAAGAUCGAACACAAAGGCUUGAUCGAGUUGGAAAGCCAAGAGGGUUUUGAUCUCCCUUUGUGGUCUUUUCAGCCUUUUAUUUUUCUAAAGUAUUUGCGUACGGAUUAACUUUUUCAAUGGUAAGCACAAGAAAAGAAAAAAAGAAACAGUUCAAAUUUAUUGGCGAAAAACAGUAGAGGAAACAUGUAAAAAGUCAGUACCAUAGAAUGAAACUUCAAAUACAGAUCUUACAAGCUCAGGACUCGAGUACAAUUUUUUAUCAAAAUUUUUUACUUGAUUCAAUUUCCUAGAGCCCUAAAUGUUUGAGUGCACAUCACGUAAUUAAAUACGAUAAUUCAAGUUGAAACAAACGGUAUAUUCGUAUAUUGACUAGUGUAACUUUUAAAGUCCUUUUUGAGGAAAAGCUGAUAGCUAACAGUACAAAAAUAAUUUUUUAAAAAAAAUAUUAUGCUCCAACAUGGAAGACAAGAAGAGUAUAUAAUUAUAUUGAAAAAUAAAAUGUGAAAAUAAUUUUUCAAUCUAGAAAAGAAAUAUAAUAAAGACUUGUUAUUAAGUAUGAAAACAAAAUUUAAUAAAAAGGAACAAAUUAUAGUUUCUCUAAAAGCGAAGCCACUUAACAAAAAUUGAAUACAUUGAUUAAUCUACCACAUAGGCAAAGGAUACUGCGAUAAAAUUUCACACCAGCAUUAUUUAAAUCUGUGAAGAAGUAAUCUACCAUGUGUACGGUUCUAUAUUUAAGUAGAAACUCAGAGAAUCUUUUUAUACAUUGUAACUUUUUUAGGAGUGUUGGAUGAAAGUUUUGGAUUGGUGGGGUAUCCAAUGUGNNNNNNNNNNNNNNNNNNNNNNNNNNNNNNNNNNNNNNNNNNNNNNNNNNNNNNNNNNNNNNNNNNNNNNNNNNNNNNNNNNNNNNNNNNNNNNNNNNNNCGAAUCAACGGAAAGGUAGAAGUGUUCUUACACUUCCACGAAAUCAAGGCAUCUCCAAGAAAAAUGCACCAGCCUGUGAUAGACUUCCUAGUAUCCGGGCAGCCAGCCCAAUCGGCAUCACUAUAUGAAGUCAAAUUAAGAGUAGAUUGUGUAGGAAAAAACAACCCACGAGUAGGUGACCUAAUUAAGUAUCUAAUAAUACAACGAACUGCAACAAGAUGAAGAUGUCGAGGUGCCUGCAUAAAUUUGCUAACUAUAUGGACAGCAUAGGAGAUAUCAGGCCUUGUAAUUGUUAGGUAGAUAAGACUACCAACAAGUUGCCUAUAUAAAAAAGGAUCAGGCAAAGGCUCGCCUUCAUCUUUUUGGUAUUUCACAUUCACCUCCAUUGGCGUAUCAACAGCAGUAGCAUCCUUUAAACCAGCUAGCUCAAUGAGAUCCUGGAUAUAUUUAUGUUGAUUUAAGAACAAACCAUGAUCUCUAGAGUGAACUUCCAGCCCCAAAAAAUAUGUGAGAUGCCCAAGAUCUUUCAUUUGAAAUGUACUACGCAACAUAUGUUGAAGCUUUGUGAUCAGCCCUAUGUCAUUACCAGUGAUGAUAAUAUCAUCGACAUAGACUAAGAGAAAUACCAUACCAGUGGUGGUCUUGUAAAAGAAGAGUGAUGAAUCAUAUUGACUUUGUGUGAAGGAGAAGGUGAGAAGAGUGUUGCGAAACUUCUCACACCAGGCUCUAGGUGCUUGUUUCACCCAUACAAAGAGCGUCUUAGCUUGNNNNNNNNNNNNNNNNNNNNNNNNNNNNNNNNNNNNNNNNNNNNNNNNNNNNNNNNNNNNNNNNNNNNNNNNNNNNNNNNNNNNNNNNNNNNNNNNNNNNCCCCAUGCAAGAAGACAUUUUUUACAUCCAUCUGAUGUAAAGGCCAAGCUUUAGAGGCUGCAAUAGCAAGAAUUGUUCUCACUGUGGUUAUCUUAGCAACUGGUGCGAAUGUUUCUUCAUAGUCGAAGCCAUAUUCUUGUUUAUUGCCAAGAGCAACCAAUCGAGCUUUGUAUCUAUCUAAAGAGCCAUCAGACUUGAGUUUCACAAUAUAGACCCACUUACUACCAAUGGGCUUAACAUGUGGAGGACAAGAAAUAAUGUCCCAAGUAUGAUUUGCCUCAAGUGUUUGAAGUUCUGCCUCCAUUGCUUGUUGCCAGCACUCAUGUUCUCUAGCCUGUUUGUAACAAGUGGGAAUGGAAAUAGAAGACAGGGUAGUAGACAUAGCCACAGGAGUUGAAAAACCAUACCUUUCAGGAGGUUUGUGAGGUCUAGAGCUUUUACGAAGAGGUGGUGGAUCAUAGGAAGUGGGUAGAACAGGAUCAGAUGCCGCAGGAAGAUGUGAAGGAACCUCAGUGAGACCUGUAGAAGGAUCAGAAGCAAGAGUGCAUCUAUGAUAAACAUAACCAGGUUUAAACCUUUGUACUGGUGUUGGUGACUCAGGAAAAUGUGGUAAAACAGAUAGAGAAGGAAGUGCUGAAGUCUGUUGUGUGCGAAAGAAGGGCUGAUUUUAAAAAAAAAUGACAUUCCUAGAGACACGAGUUCGACGUGCAUGUGGAUCAUAACAAAGAAAUCCUUUUUGGAUUCCAGCAUAUCCUAAGAAGGCACACUUGACAGAUUGGGCAGUAAGUUUAUUUCUCUCAUGUGCAGGAAGGUGAACAAAACAAAUACAUCCAAAAAUAUGAAGAUUGGAAUAAUUUGGUGAAUGUCUAAACAAACGAAAGUAAGGAGAAUCAUUGUUCAAGUUGGGAGAUGGUAAUCGAUUAAUCAAAUAAACAGCAGUACACAAAGCUUCACACCAAAAAUGAGAAGGAACACAUGACUCAAUUAGAAGAGUUCGAACAACAUCAAGAAGAUGACGAUUCUUUCUUUCAGCCACACCGUUUUGUUGUCGGGUGAAAGGACAAGAACGUUGUGAUAUGAUCCCAUGACUUUGAAGAAAAAAUUGAAAUUCAUUUGACAUAUACUCACCACCUGAAUCAGAUUGCAGAAUUUUGAUUUUGGCAAAAAAUUGUGUUUCAACUAAGGCAAGAAAUGCUUUAAACACAGAGAAGACCUCACUUUUAGAUCGAAGAAAAUAUACCCAAGUAAAGCGAGUGAAAUCAUCUAUAAAUGUAACAAAGUAUUUGUAAUGUUCAUGAGAAAUUAUAGGUGCAAUACCCCAUACAUCAGUAUGCACGAUUUCAAAAGGUUUGGUCGUGCGGGUUUUAUGCAAUGGAAAAGGAAGUGUUUUGCUCUUACCAAGUUUGCAAGAUGCACAAUCAACAAUAUCAUUAUUAGAAGAAGUCGAAUUUUUAUUUCCAAGUAAACCAGAUUUAAACAAGACUCGAAGUACAUGAGAAUUAGGGUGUCUUAAACGUCUAUGUCACACCUGAUUAUCACAUUGAACAGCAUUACAGGCAACAUAAUUUGACACAGGAUAGGGAGAUAGAAGCAAGGGAAAUAGUUGUCCCACUUUAGGUCCCUUCGCGAUCAUCUUCCCGGACACUUGAUCCUGCACAAAACAACCAGAUUUUGAAAAAUGAACAUCACAAUUGUUGUCAACUAAUUGGCCAACAGAUAUAAGAUUAGUGGACAGCUUAGGAGACACAAACACAGUAUUCAAAAGGGCUGAAAUAUCACCAACAACUGUGAUAGACAAGGGAUUACCAUCGGCAGUACGAAUAUGAAGAUUUCCUUUAUAUUUUUGAACAUUAUUUAAAGGUAAGGCAGUGUUGGUCAUGUGAUUGGAAGCAGCAGAAUCAAAAUACCAAGGCUUAGGAAUAGAAUUUUGGUUACCUGAAAGGCCUAAAGCAGAAAGGGCAGAAACUAUCAUUUGUUGGAUUAUUUCAGGAGUAAUAGAAGACUGACCAGGACUAGGAGCAUUUGAGGAACCAAUCGAGACAUUAUAAGCAGUUUCAGAUUUCUUUGGAGACCGGAUGGAGCAAUCUUUGAUGAUAUGCCCUGUUUUCUUACAAUAGUUGUAGAAUAUUUUAGUGCAAGUAGUGGCAAUAUGCCCAAAUCCUUUGCAACUAUAGCACUGAACAUUAGACAUAUCUCUUCCUCCUUUAGAUCUCCCUUGAGCAGCGUAGGCAACAGGAAUUGGAGCAGAAUUUUGAGCUUUCUGCUCCAAGAUAGCCUGUGUAAUGAUCCGUUGUUCUUCCUUGAGAAGCUCUCCUACACAAAUAUCCAAGAAAGGAACUGGUUCUCUAUUCAUCAGGUUGGACCUGAUUACUUCAAAUUCCCCCCUUAACUUUAUUAAAAACUUAUCACGCUUGCUGGUUUCAUGCACACUUUUGAUAGCAAUAAGUCCUUCAGGAGGUACACUUGCAUACACAAUAUCUUUGUACUCAGCCCACAGAUNNNNNNNNNNNNNNNNNNNNNNNNNNNNNNNNNNNNNNNNNNNNNNNNNNNNNNNNNNNNNNNNNNNNNNNNNNNNNNNNNNNNNNNNNNNNNNNNNNNNNNNNNNNNNNNNNNNNNNNNNNNNNNNNNNNNNNNNNNNNNNNNNNNNNNNNNNNNNNNNNNNNNNNNNNNNNNNNNNNNNNNNNNNNNNNNNNNNNNNNNNNNNNNNNNNNNNNNNNNNNNNNNNNNNNNNNNNNNNNNNNNNNNNNNNNNNNNNNNNNNNNNNNNNNNNNNNNNNNNNNNNNNNNNNNNNNNNNNNNNCUCCGAGGUACAUUGGCCCAUUUGAGGUGAUAGCUAGGAUAGGGCUGGUUGCUUACCGCUUGAAGCUACCGGCACACCUAGAGAAGAUUCACAAUGUAUUUCAUGUAUCAUUAUUACGGAAGGCGGAAGUGGAUCCUUCCCGAGUGUUACCUCCAGUUCCUAUGGAAGUAAAAGAAGACUUGACACUCGAAACCAGGCCAGUCAAGAUCAUGGAUCGGAGUGAAAAAACAUUGAGGAAUAAGAGAGUAUCACUAGUCAGAGUGUUGUGGAGGAACUCACAAAUUGAGGAAGAAACGUGGGAGAGAGAAUCAGAGAUUAAGGAAAAAUACCCCCACCUAUUCCUUGAGUCAGGUAUGCAGUUUAAAUUUCGGGGACGAAAUUUUUAUUAGGAGGGAAGAAUGUGAAGCCCGAGAAUAAAAUAUACAAAGAGGGGGGGGUUUAUAAUAAUUCAAAAUGUUGUUAUAAUAUAUAAAAAAAAAAAAAAAAGGUGAAAGAUGGGGCCAAAAUGGAAUUAACAAGAGAUGGGACUAUAAAUACCCAUCCCUUCUCUCAUCCAUGGCCGGCUGAUAAUAAGAAUAAGGAGGGGAGGAGAAUUUCAUAUUUUUCCUUCAUCAAAACUAGGAGUGAACACUUAAAAUUAGUAAACCCAAAUAAGCCUUGGAAUUAUUAAGUGGAGGAACACAAUCGGGUGGAAGAAUUAACAAGAAGAAAAGUGAAGAGUUGGUGAAGAAAAGAGGGGGAAGAGUGGCUGACUACAUACAAGGAGAAGAAGGCUAAGAUUCUUCUAAAAAUUUGUGAAGUAAAGUUUAGAUUUCCAUCCAAGUAAGGAGUUCUAAUUCCAAUUUCUAUGAAAUCAACUUCAAUUUGAUUAGAAGUUUAUGCUUUUCUUGAAUUGGGAAUUAGGGUUCUUUAACAUAAAAUGUUGGGAAAAUGCAGAAAUGAGUGAGGUUUAAUGGAUUAGAAUAAUCUAAGUGCCUUAAAGAAGAAGAACAAAUGAGUGCAUAAAAGAGAGGAAGGGAACUUUUGGUUCCUUUGGGCACGUUCUCUGCUGGAUACUGCAGAGGGGAAUGAGAACGUAUGAUAUGCUUAAUUAAUUAAUUUGGUACAAGUGACCUUAAGAGGACAUAAAAUGAGACGGGAAUGCCAUGAAUAAAGGGAAGGGGCUGUGACUGAUGAAGAAGCAGGAAUUUAAGACGAAAUGGAGAUACUUUCUCCAUUAGCAAAACAGGGCAGGUUCGCUGCCCUGUCUUCUGGGGGGAUUUUGGACCUGAAAACUACAGAAUUCAGGGAGGGUCCCCUCAUAGAAGUUGUAGCCGGAAGUGUUAGCUUUCCAACGAAUCCGACCCCGCCUAAUUUGGAGUCCUAGAACUCCAGAUACAAAUAAAAAACUGAGGAGAGGUCAAGCUGCCACCCCUGUUGGCAGAUUCGGCCAAGUUGAUAAAACGGCGAAAUUUAGCCAUAUUAAGGGUAGAAUUUGUUUUCUUGCCCUUCAUAAAGUGUGUCUUGAUCUUCAAAAAGAAUAAACGGUAAUCAAAAUUGAAUUUAUGAUGUUCACUUAGACUACAAAUGAGCUGAAAAGUUAAAGGAUAAUAAUGAGGAAUGUAAGUGAGAAAGAAAAGAUUUGGUAAAAGAGAAAUGAAUAUUAUUUCCAUUGUUGCUGUUGCGUUUGAUAUGUGGACUAAUAUGGAAUAAUGAUGGGUGUUUGUGGUUUCAGGAGGAACCGCGGGAGGAGUACAACAACCACAGGGGAACGCAAGUCGAGCGUCUACAGCAGGUAGGUACUUGGUACCUAUAUCUCCUCUAGUUAAUAAUUAUUUUCAUUAACUUUUGAACUAUAAAAUUUUGGUGCUUAUUGAUGAGGAAAAGGGGGGGGGGGGAGGAAGGAAAGGUUAAAUGACGAAAAAUAAAAUAAAAUGAAACGGAGGACUAGAUUUAAUUUAUCGGUUCUUUUGGAGUAACAACGAAUUUUGGUAAUGACUGUUUCUCCAAAUUUGAUUUGUUUGUUUCUGGAUAUGGGAGGCUGAUGAUGNNNNNNNNNNNNNNNNNNNNNNNNNNNNNNNNNNNNNNNNNNNNNNNNNNNNNNNNNNNNNNNNNNNNNNNNNNNNNNNNNNNNNNNNNNNNNNNNNNNNNNNNNNNNNNNNNNNNNNNNNNNNNNNNNNNNNNNNNNNNNNNNNNNNNNNNNNNNNNNNNNNNNNNNNNNNNNNNNNNNNNNNNNNNNNNNNNNNNNNNNNNNNNNNNNNNNNNNNNNNNNNNNNNNNNNNNNNNNNNNNNNNNNNNNNNNNNNNNNNNNNNNNNNNNNNNNNNNNNNNNNNNNNNAUGAUUAACUGGAAACUAUUUUAGUUUUUUUUUUAAAAAAAAUAGUUAAUGACACAAACGGUUACGUUCGUGUCGGCAUUUUCAUGAAACUGAUUAGUUGUUCCAGGACGGGCAACUAAAGACACUAAUGGAGGCCAAUGGUGUUGGCAAUAGUCUUUUUGAUGUGGAGGGGGGGGGAGAAGUAGUCAACAGAAAAAAAAAAAAAGAAAAAAAAAAGAGAAUUCUUAUAUAACCAUAAAAAGGGGUUUAUGAUUUAAGUAGAUAGAUAUGCUGUUUAAUUUUUCUUCCGUAAAUUGCUUGUAUUUGAAUCAUUUAUUUUUAAUUAUAUGGAAAAUUUAUAUUUUUGCAGGUCCCUCCCAUUCACGUCAGGAAUAGAUUUUAAGUUCUUUGAUCCCUUUUUGUAUAAGUUAAGAACUUAGGGAUUUGUGGUGUAAUUUUGUCAUGCAGUAAACAUGUAACCUGUAUAGAAUAUUAUAUUCGUAAUAUUUUGUUUCUGAAAUGUUAAAUGUAUCCACCUAUGCUUGGGAUAUUAGAAUGUACUAGACUAUGUUAGAAUAUUAAACUAUGUUGUGUUAUAUAUAUGCAAUCUUCGUGCUCGAAUUUGGCUAUUUUAAUUAUUAACUUAUGCGUGUGAUGUAAGAUGGAGUUUGGGAAUGAAUAUGAUCCUGAGCAUAAUCUGGAAUGAAUUAUGCGAUUGAUUGUGCUAAACAUGGAUGUGAUUGUGGAUGAGAUGUAAUUCUAAAUGUGUGCAGGGUACAUUGUCGAUAACUUGGGAUCUCCCGGUAUAGAGGAGACUCUGCCGAAAUUUCGUUAGAAAUUUCGGCGAGAAAAAAAAAAAAAUUUUUUGCUCCAUCUACCCUUUAUAGGGGGGAAGAUUAACGGAUAAACUAAUAGAAAAAUUGGGGUUGUUACAGUUACUGCUCUUGCUGUUUAUCAAGCUUGACUCUGCCCCCAAGUGUGGUGUUGCUUGAUUCAUCGUGAAGGAUUUUCUCUCCUGGAUUCUUCUAAGAAUUAUCCUCUAAUUGGUUGUGUGCAUCAUGCCAACACCCAUCAUGAUUGUCAAUCAGUCAUGAACUUGCCUCAAGCUGAAACAAUACUCUUCAAGUAUAUGUUAUCACCAGUCUUCAUGGAAAUCAUCUAGUCGUCCAGACAUGCAUCUCAUAGCUUGCAGUGAAAGACUCAUCGUUGUAUGCUCAAUGUUCUUUCUCAUGGAUUUCUCUCAGCUUUUCUAAUCAGAUUGUGAAAAGAAAUGCAGUGGCAUCAUCAAUGAUGUUCAUUUUAUCACCCAUAUUCAUGCGAUGAAGUGCGUCUUUGAUCUCCAAAAUAGAUGGUCCCACAGUCAGUCUUCGGGGUGGGUGCCUUUCCGACAUUCAUUCAAUGCAAUUGUGUGAUAUCAUCUGUCGAUAACCAUGUUUCAAAUGAUGACAAUAUGAGAUUGUCCUUCAAGUGCAGCAUUGUUCCGCAAUCAAUCUUGGUGGUGUGCAUCUUUUCAUAUUCGUUCGAAUGCAACUGUAUGCCCACAUCGGUCGAUAGCCAUGUUUCAAAAGAUGACGAUAUAAAGAUUUCCUUCAAGUGUAUCUUUGCUUUCCCGAUUGUUGACGGGGUUCACUAGAUCAUGGACUAUCUUUGAACAACAUUGCCCCCAAUAUGAUCUGAAAUGUGCUCGUUCAUUGAUUAUCUUUCUUUGAACACCAUUGUCUUCAGUGCCUUGAUUCAUCAUUUGAUCAUCAAGGAUUUUGCAAACUCGAUCGAUAUUCUUCUUGUUUGACAAUCUUUCUAUUCUGGAAUCAACUCUCAUACUUUCAAAGAUCAUGUCAAUUCAAGUCUAAUUGUUGAAAUGAAAUCAGAGAGAUGUCAGUUUUUGAAAAUCAAGUUUCUUCGGUCAAAGAUCCAACACACGUUAUUCGAAAUAUACAGUCCUUUGAUUGUCAUGUAUUUUGAAAACAAAAAUUGACCCAUUGUAAGUUUAAAAUGACUUUUUCCAUGGUUCUUUAUGUCAGUUUUAAUCUUUGAUCUUGGGUAUAUCUUUUCACGGUCUGCAAUGAGGUGACCUUCUGUGAAUUUCAAGAAACAAAAGGCUCAAGUCAAAACUUGAGGAUUCAUCAAGAAAGAUUGUUUUCUUUUUUAGCACCAAUUUUAUCAGCAUGCAUAAUAACCAGUAGCUUAAUCCAUGAAGUCACGACCCUUAUGGAACAACUCUUCCAUUUUUGAGAUCGCCAUUUAUCGGUUCAGAUUGCUUACUUGAUUAAAAAGGGCUUUUAAAAGCACGUAAUGCAGGCUAUGGUUCAUGGCUUAUGAAAGAAGGGAAAUUCACAGGCUCAAAAGGUGUUUGAGGGUUUCAACGACCUAGGAUCAACAUCAACUAUUCAUCAACUCUCUUUCUCGUUGUCGUUGUGGAGAAAGUGACAUACAACCUUGUUAAUCUCAAAGAUCAGAAUUCUCUUAACAUAGGUCAUAAUGUAAAUCCAACUUUCUCUGAUGAAUAAUGAAUCUAAAAAAUUUUGAAGACACUAAAGGCUUUAUCCUAGACACACCAAAAGACAUGAAACUUGAUUUUUUUGGUGUUGACUUUUGACAUUUGUUGUGUCUUUCUUCCAUUGAAACCUCUUUUGCCCCUCUUAGAAUUGAUAGGCAUUCUCCUUCAUUUCCACUUUUUUUUUUUUUUGCUUUUACAUAACCUUCCUCAAAGUUUUCUUGGAUGGCCCUCAAUCUAUGGCUUUUNNNNNNNNNNNNNNNNNNNNNNNNNNNNNNNNNNNNNNNNNNNNNNNNNNNNNNNNNNNNNNNNNNNNNNNNNNNNNNNNNNNNNNNNNNNNNNNNNNNNNNNNNNNNNNNNNNNNNNNNNNNNNNNNNNNNNNNNNNNNNNNNNNNNNNNNNNNNNNNNNGGCUCAAAAUGGGACUGCAAGGGAUAAUAUUUCAAGAAAUGUGAAAGGAUAACAAAGAUGGCCUUUUCUCGUUUCAAGCAAGGUCGGUUAGAACCGAUAAAUUUUGACAUCAUCUAGUGUAAUGAUUAGAACUUGUAAGAGUCAUGAUUCGAGUCCAUAACUAUUUAAUCCACUACAUGUCAUUAUGCAUACUGUUAAAACUUAGUUAUAUGAUGUGUUGUUCAGUUUCAGGAGAUAUGAGUUCAAAAUUGUUUGGUCACCUCAUGUCAUUUUCAAGCAUCAAGUCAUUUCCGCAAUCAAAACACUUUUAAUCUUCAGGAUUGACUAGCUUUAAUUUUGUAUGUUGGAGUUUGAUAAAAAAAAAAUAUUUUUGUCAAAAUACCCUUUGAAAGAAGCAUCUCUUGAUUUCAAAACAACAAAAAGACAAAGAAAAGACAUGUUUCGUUCAAGGAUGAGAUGUGACCCCAAAACAAAAUGCAGAAUGGCAAAAAUUUCAUAACAACAUGAUUGACAGUUCAACGCCCUUCUUGGAUCAACUAUUCUGGCAAUAUCUGUGUUUACCGAGCAAUUUCGAUCACUCGUCAUUCUGAGGAUGUUCUGGCGACAAAAUGAUCAAUGACAAGCUCCUUCACAGAUUCCUCUCGUCUUUUGCUCACCAAUUUGCGGACUCGAUUCUUGCAAUUAUUCAACUGAAUGGCCUGAAAUCCCCCCAUGAUAUUCAAAUCUCCUGUUUGGAUUAUAUCACAUAAGAAACAGUGGUUGCAUGGGAUUUAACAGAGUCAGGCAAAAAGUUUGGAAUCUGACAGAUGCUAGUAGUCCAACUUGGGUGGCAGAAAGAUGUCAAUCUUGGCAACGACACUUGAGUAGCUGGUGCUAUAGUGAGACUUGACUAAACCAAGUAACUAUGGUUUCUCAUCUUCAGAGUCAUCUCCUGAUUCAUCUCUCAUCAUUGUUCUGGAAUUCUUGACAGAACCUUCAAUCCUUCUCAUCUUCAUAGCUAGCUUAAUUCUUUCAAUGAUCUUCACAACAUCAUGUCAUUCUUCCAAUGUUGUUGUGGUCGUUUGUGGAUUGUUGGAAACCUUCCAGUAGCUAGGUAAUCUUGGCAGCACCUGGAGACUUGCAGCAUUGCCACUGCCGACGUGUGGAAUCACACAUUGUCAAAACUGGAAGAGAACUUGAUGAAUCUAAAACUCCUUUGUCUCCUCUUUGAUUCCUCACUGAUGGUGCAGCAAACAGACACCUGUAGAGGGAGCUCUGCUCUGUUGAAGUUUCAAUCUUCUUUCUAUUUUUCAGCCGAGGUUUGUCUCUUUUCCCUUCUUUUGCAUUUUCAAGCUAACACCGAUGAGAGAAUUAUAGAUGAUCAGAAACUACUGCAUCCCUUCUUGGAUUCUCCACUUGCAGAUCUACAAACAGAUUUCUGCAGAGAGAGCUCUGCCACGGUGAAGUUCUAUAUUUGCUCCUGUUUUCUAGCUCAAGUCUGGCUUUGCUGCCUACUACAGUGUUUCGAUGCUGAAACUGGUGGGGUAACUUUUCACAUUUUCUGGAACUACUACAUCCCCUCUUGAAUUCCCCACUUGCAGAGCCAUAAACGGGUUUUUGUAGAGAAAGCUCUGCCACGUCAAAGUUCGACGACUGCUCAUGUUUUCAGACUAGGUCUGACUCUUCGGCCUACUCCAGUGUUUCAGUGCUAAAACUGAUGAGCCAAAGUUUUGUAGCGUAUAAAAGUACUGCAUCCCCUCUUGCAUUCCCCACUUGCAGAGCCACAAACGAAUCUCUACAGAGAGAGCUCUGCAACGUAGAAGUUUGAUGUCUGUUCAUGUUUUCAGACCAGGUUGGCUCUCAACCUACCACAAUGUCUUUGUGCUGAAACUGAUGAGAGAUUUUAUAGUAUAUGCAACUAAUAAAUCCCCUCUUACAUUCCCAACUUGCAGAGCCAUAAACGGAAUUUUGUAGAGAGAGCUCUGCCACAUUGAAGUUUGAUGACUGCUAACAUUUUCAGACCAGGUCUCACUCUUCUGCCUACUACAAUGUUUUGCUGGUGCCACUGGUGGGAGAAAGUUUCAAAGCAUAUGAAACUACUACACCCCUUCUUGCAUUCCCCACUGGCAGAUCCCCAAACAAAUCUCUACAGAGAGAGCUCUGCAACGUAGAAGUUCAGUGUCUAAUCAUGGUUUUUUUCAGUUUUUUUUUUUUUUUUUUUUUUUCCGGGGUUUCUUUUUUCUUGGUUUUUUUUUUUACAUCUUGUGCCGCUGAACUGGAAUUGAGCAAACAGUUUGGGUAACGUCAAAGAAGGCUAACACACCAUGCACAGAAGGCUAGCAGUUAUUUGGUGCUAUUGAAAGAUGUGGAGGCGAUGAAUAAUUAUCAGUGCAACUGAACAAGAACAAAGGUUGUCAUUAGCUGAUGACUGAAGGCAUUGCUGCAAUUAUUCAAGACUGAAAAGAGGAGGUGUAACUUCGAUGGGACAUGGACAAGCAGUGUUCCCACAGAAGACUGUGUAGACAUUCCCUUUUCCUUUGAUGCUCUACACUUGUUCAAGCAGAUCUGAGCCUAGCUACUUCACCCUUGAUGCUCUCAACUUUCCUUUGAUUCUGUGCUUCUCUCUGACCCCUUUCUUUAUUAUCCAUCCUUUUCCAUCCAGUGUAGUAAACCUUGGACAGGGGAACCUAUUUUUCCCCAUGGUACAUGCAUGAUAAAUGUAUGAACAUGUAAUCUAUAUGAAGAACUCACCCUUCGAGGGGUGACAUAUGGUCGUAACUCUUGUAUGAUGAAACAAGAAUCUUGAUUCUUGCCCAAACUCUACAAUGAAAAUUUUCUGAGUGACGGCCAUUGGGUCACCCAAAAGUCUUGAGUUCAAGAUGCUUCAAGAAGGGUUUGCCCUGAUGCAAAACAAUAUAUACGGAGCACACAUCCUAAAGGCAGGUUCUAAUCUUUUUAAGUGAGACAAAAGGUAGGUUUACUACUUGGUCUCUAAAAAAGGGUCUCUCGUUGUCCCAGUGAUUACCCUCUUGAAGGCAAUAUAGGGGCUUGUAGGCAAUGAGAUGGCACGUGUCCAACUAUUACCAGUCUAAGCACUCAACGAAGAGUUGGGGUUUACACAAACUUAAACCUUGACUAAAAGUCAUAAGGUAAGCUGCUAGUCCCCCUCAUAACCUGAAGCUUGUGUGUGCUAAAAAUUAAAAUAUGUGAUGCAUGAAACAAUUCUACAAAAUGCAUGAAUAAAACAAAAAUAAAACAAGACAAAAAUGCAAAAACAUAAACACAUCAAAUACACAAAGCUUAGUCCAAUAUCGUCAGAAACAAUACCUUCCCCAGUGGAGUCGCUAUUCUGUCGCACGUGAUAAAAAAUCAGCGCGGCAUCGGCUGGCGAUUUUAUCGUUGUUCGUUUUGAUUUGAUUGGUUCGUUGGAGUCGCCACCUAGUAAUUGAUUGCGGGCUACUAGGAAACCGGAUGUACUGGUCUUGUCAGAGAUUCAUGGGUAAGGGACUGGUUGUGGUUAGGGAAGGUAUUAGCACCCCUAACGCACCCUACCUGAGGUAAGCUGCUUCGUGGACUUGAUGCGUUUUAAAGAUAAAAUUUUAGCCCAAUUCUAAGGCUUUGAUAAAUCAGUUAUUCGUUCCCAAAAUAUAUGUAGAUACAUGUUCUACAUUUUUAUGGGAAAUACAACAUGAUUUUUAUCUGUCCUUUAGAUAUUUGUGCAUAUAAAUUAAAAUAUUAAAUUCAUUUUUUUUUUAUUCAAUAACAUACAUAAAAAAAAUACACAAACACACACAUCUCCUUUUCUAUUAUUAUUUUCUCCUUCUUUUCUUUUCUUUUUUCCUUUUUUACAUCCACAGUACAAAAUACAAUUUCUAAACAAACUAAACAAAAAUUACAAUAAAAUUACAAUAACACCCCCAAAACAAUCUGGAAAUUACAGGGAACACCUUCUGCAAGCCGGAACAGUGUUCAGCAGGAUUUCUGGGCGCAAGAACAGUGGCGGUGCGUCCUUCCACGCGCCACCAUUGCUGGCGGCGCGUGGACCCACGCGCAGCCGCAAGAAAUUCCAGGCAGCGGGGGCGUCUGGAGCAGCUUCCUCCCCUCUUCCUUUUCCUCGCCGGCGGCGACAACACCGUUACCUGCAAAACAAUCAAAACGCAACACAGGCAGUUGAUUUUAGUUUUCAUUUCCUUUGUUUUUUUCAAAUCUUCUUCGGUUUCUUCCCUUUUUUUAAAUCUGUCCCGUUUCUCUGCCUCCUCUGCAGAUCGGUCAUCUUCUUCUUCUUUCGGUGGCAGAUCCGCCGUGGAGGACCCAGCGUCGUGGGUGAGGAGGCGGCGUCGCUGUUAUGGGAAAGAGACGUCGCUGCAAGGCUGGCGGAGUUUGCUGCUGGAGACCGGUCUGCGGGUUAGGAGAUCGCCUUCUUCUCCUCUGUUUCGGGUGGCAGAUCGGGUCUGUGAGAGAGGAGCUGCUGCUGGGUCGUUGAUGACGGGUGGAAGAGAUGACUGGUCUUGGCUGGUCUGCGGCCGUUGCUGUUGAAGGAAACGAAGGUGAAGAAGAUGCUGCUACUGCUGGGGGAGGAGCUGCGGAAGAAGGGAGCCGCUGUGGAGGCUGUUGUCUGCUGGAGGAAGACGGUGCUGCUUCACGGGGAGGGGCCGUCGCUGCUGGAAGAAGAAGAAAACCAGAGGGCAAAGGGGAGUGGCCGGUCUCUGUUUGUGUUGCCAGAGAGGGAAGGUCCGGAGCUGGAGGGGAAAAGCUGGGACGGUGAUGAGAGGAAAUGGGGGAAAUGUUGAGCCGGCUGGAGAGGGAAAGACGAAGUGGCUGAGAAGGGGAGGCUUGUGUGCCGUCCAAAGAGCCAAGCUCUAGGAUGGCGAGAAGAAGGAAAAAAUCUGAUGAAGGAUGGGGGGUGGCGGCUCCGGUUGAGGGAGAAGAAAAAAUGAUAAGCUUUUAGGGUUUCUCUUUUUGUUGCCCCUUUUAAUUGCCAAAUUGCCCCCCCUUUUGUUUGAGUUGUGGACCAGUAUUUAUAGGUAAAAUGUUGCAUGGAUCUCAAAAUUGGUCCCUCAACUUUUUUCUUUUUUUGUAAAUUUGAUUUUUCUUAAUUUUUUUGUAUUUUUUAAAAACGAGCAAUAUCAACAUCGACUCAAUGACGAAAAUCAAUGAUUUUAAAAAUAACGCGUUAAAAGUUGAACGCGUUCCAAAUGUCUUUGAAAAUUUAAAUUCUUUUUAGACGAUGCUAAAAACGAUGCAAAUGUAUUAAAAAUGUAUUUUUUUGGAUUUUCAAUGUUUUUCGCUAUUUUUGGAUUUUUUUGAAAAUUUAUCAAAACAUGGGUCAAAAAUUGGGUAGCAACAACGCUUGCUGGUUUCAUGCACACUUUGGAUAGCAAUAAGUCCUUCAGGAGGUACACUUGCAUACAGAAUAUCUGUGUACUCAGCCCACAGAUUUACAAAGGAAGAAUAAAACUCUUGGAUUGACAUACUGCCUUGACUGAAUUGACCCAACUCAAGUUCCAAUUGGAACCUUCGUGCUGUAUUGCUUUGUUUGUAAACUUUCUUCAGGUAAUCCCACAUUUCUCUAGAGGAUUUGUAAGGCUUGAGAUUGAGAAGCAUGGAGUGUUCCAUACUUCCAAGGAUCGAAGACAUAAUCUGAGCAUCCUUCACCUCCCAUUUCACAUAUUUCUCCUUCUCCUUCUCACUGUCAGGUGCAGGAUCUGUCCCAGCAAUAUGACCCCAUAAUUCCUUUCCCUUGACAAAAAUUUGAAACUGGAAAGCCCAGGCAGAAUAGUUCUUUCCAGUAAAUCGAACAAGAAAAUGUUCAGAUCGUUCAAGAGACAUGAUUUAACUAGAAACAAGAACCAAGAGAUCAAGUCCAAGAAAAACAGAAUAGAAGAACCAGACAAGGAACCAGACACAAGAUGAAUAGAUUUUAGAGUUUUGGCUCUGAUACCAUGACAAGAUAAUACAAGAGAAAUUCUGAAAUGUUUUCUGUAUUUUUCACUAAGAGAGUUACAAUAUAUAUAUACAUCAAGAAGGAUCAAAUCCCUUAAUUCUAGGAUCUAAUAAAUAUAAUCAGAUCCUUUAAUCUUACGCCUAGACAAUAAUGAAAAUCUUAUAGAUAUAAUCAAGGGAUAUACAGCUAUGAAAGAAACUAAAUAAGGAAAGAAGAAUAUAAUAUACAGCUAUGAAAGAAACUAUAUAAUGAAAGAAGAAACUAUAUAAGGAAGGAAGAAUAUAUUGACAAUGAAGACCACUUGUAUUGAUUUUGCCAAAGACUUUCUCGUAAAGCAAUUUGCACGUAGUGUUUCUGUGGACAUGGGCUCAUGGAAGCCCGUGCCUCAUCCUCCCCUGCAGAGCUUGAGGUGCCACCGGGUCCAGAAUCCUCUGGCAUAUGUUUAGGUGUUUGAUUUUGUAAAUUUUUUUAUUUAUUUUAAAUUAAUAUAUUUUUUAAUGUUUUUAUGUCAUUUUAAUACAUUGAUAUCAAAAAUAAUUUUUAAAAAUUAAACAAAUAUUAUUUUAAUAUAUUUUUAAAUGAAAAACAUUUUAAAAUACAACAUCAACUAUACUUCAAAACAUAUCCUAACACUUGAUAUUAUGAUUUUAAUAGGUCAAGACACUAUUUUAUACCUAAAAAUAAUAAAUUUUAUUAUAACUAAAUAAAAUAAUAAUAAAAAAAAAACUGACCUAAAGAUCAUAUAUACAUGUCAUAGCUCGUAUGAAAGAGUGUUGGGUAUAUCAGCUUAGAGUAUAGACAGAAACCUAUUCUUAAUAACUUGCAUUGGAUAAGCUAAUACACACACUAUAUAUAUAGUUGAAAAGAUUGAAAUUAUAAAAUGAUGAGUUUUUCACAACUCAAUGAAUAAAUAGAACAAACAUACAAUAAGAGACUAAGGUUGCGUUUGUUUUUCAGAAAGUGAUUUUCGGGAAACUACUUUCCAAACUUUCCUCUGUUUGUUUGCUAUUAGGAAAGUUGGUCAACAAAAAAUACUUUCCGGUCAACGAAAAACACUUUCCAGUCAAAGAAAAAUUUGGCUUGGUUUCCAGGAAAGUGUUUUCCUUUUAUUUUGGGCGGAAAACACUUUUCGGAAGUUGUGAAAAAUUUAGAAAUGUCAUAUUAUUUGCUGAUUAUAUCAAAUUUGGUCCUCAAACUUUUGAUUGCUAUAUAUAUUUUAUUUUGAAUAUUUAUUUUUCAAUUUCAUCCCUUAGCAUUUAAUUUUUAUAUUAAUUUUGGUCCUUAUUUUUAUAAUUGUUAUUUGCUUUUCCCUUAUCAUUUUUUAAUUGAAAUUUUUUAUCUAUCAAAUUUGAUCCUCAUUCUUUUGAUGUUACUUAUUUUAUUUAAAAUUAUUUAUAAAAUGUUAAUUAUUAUUAUUUUAAUUUCUUCAUCUUUCAAUUUUUUUAUUUUUUAGAUUUGAUCUCUAUUAUUUUGAUUAUUAUUUAUUUUAUUUGAGAUAAUUUAUGAAAUUAUAUAUUUUUUUCAAUUUCAUUCUCAUUCAACUUUUUAAUUUGUAAGAUUUGUUCCUCAUUAUUUUAAUAAACUUGAAAAAAAUAAAACAUUAAUAAGUUAUUUUCCAGCUCAUUUUCUAUGAUAUAACUAAACACUGGAAAGUAUUUUCCAACUUAUUUUUCAUUACACUACCAAAUAUCGGAAAAUAAUUCACUUUCCUGAAAUUUACUUUUCAAAAGGAAACUACUUUCUAGCAAACAAACGGGGCCUAAGUUAUAAUGUGAUUAAUUUAUUAGGUUCAUACAUGAUAAUAAUAUAACUAAGCAAACCAAUAACACAUAAAUAUAGUUAAAGUUAUGUCAUUUUUUUAGAAAAUCAGAUAUAAAAAUGAAAAGGGGAAGAAAAUGUGUUCGCAUCAAGGUAAACUAUCAUAACAAAUAUUUGCGAUAAAAAAAAUAAUUAUCAUUUCUGUUUAGGAUACUUUAAGGAUAGUUUAAUUUUUUAUAUAAAAAAAUAUUAAAAACAUUAAUUAGCAUUUCGGUUUAGGAUAUUUCAAGAGUAGUUUAGAUAUGUUUUUUAUAACAAAUGAAAAAAUUAUAAAAAUUAUUAAUUAGAAUUUCUUUUUAGGAAAAUUCAUGGAUAAUUUAAUUUUUUUUUAUAAAAAAUAGAAAAAUAUUAUAAAAAAAAUAUUUAGGAUAUUUCAAAUGUAGUUUAAACGUUUUUUUUUUUAUAAAAAACAUUAAUUAUCAUUUCUUUUUAGAAUAAUUCAAGGGUAGUUUAAAUGUUUUUUAAAAAAAUUAAUUAGAAUUUAUUUAGGAUACUUCAAGGGUAGUUUGAAUUUUUUUUUAUAAAAUUAAUUAGAAUUUUUGUUUAGAAUACUUCAAGGGUAGUUUAAAUUAAUUAUAAUUUUAUAAAAAAUAUAUAUAAAAAAAAUUAAUUAGAAUUUUUGUUUAGGAUACUUCAAGGGUAUAAAAAAAAUUAAUUAGAAUUUUGUGGUCAAACCUGUGUUUAGAUAUGUUUUAAAAAUAAAUUUAAUAUAAAAAAUAAUUAAAUUAAUAUUUUUUUAGUGUUAUUAAAAAUAAAAAAUAUUCAAAAAAUAUUUAUUUUAAUAUAUUUUUAAAUAAAAAAUACUUAAAAAAAAAAAACAAGAACUUCAAGCAAGAACUAGCUAGGUAAAAUUUCUCCCUUGUUAAGGGAAGGUCGUAUUGGAGUCAUAACCCUCGUGCCAAUGGCUUGGAAACUAGUCAUUGUUAAAGUAUGGUUAGCAGUACUUUGAGUUCUCUGCAGCAGAUAGGAUAUUCGCAUCAACUCCAGCUUUUCCUCAUCGAAUUACUCUUAACAACAAUCUAAGUCUGUACAAGAUCAACAGAACAUCAGAAAAAUGGAUUGAUAGGAACUUGACCAGGCUCAUUGAAGGACUGUAUUUCUUUUUUAUUAACAUGGGUAUUUCUUUUUUAUUAAUAUGGGUGUUUGACGAGGCUCUUUUUUAUUUCUUUUUUAUUAACCGGCAAACAAAUUGAUGGUUCACUGCAAGGACAAAAAGCAAGGACCUCGGAGUCCAAUAUCUGUCUCGGAAACAACAGUUCCACCUUAAAACAGAUAUUGAUGCAUCUAGUGCAAAAAGAGACGAGAACAGAUGCAGCAGAAAGCAUUUCAUGUGGCCUGUCAGGGAGGAUGGGUUCGAUUCUAGCAACGGGAACAGCAAUUGGAAUCGGGCGUAUCAGUGGUAAUGGAAGUUUUCCAAUUCAAUAAACAAGUGUGUCUCACGUCAAUUACAAGUUAGUUACAUGCUGUUAAGUCUGAUUCCUAUCAUCACUCUUUCUAUCUCUCUGUAUCUUAAAAGCCUGUGAUACACGUUAACAACAGAGAGCAGGACCCUGACCAUCUAAAGCUCUCACAAGUGUGAAAGCAAACUCAACGAAGACCAGAGAUGCGUAUAUGCUUGCUGCUGCUCGUGUUUCAUGAUACAAAUUAAACCCUCUUUGCGUAUAUGCUUGCUGCUGCUCGUGUUUCAUGAUAAAAAAUAAACCCUUUCACGUCAAUUACGAUAUCUUCCAUUGAAUACAUUGAAGUGAUCAAAGUGCUAGAAAAAAACUUUCGAGAUUAAAGUUUCUUUCAUAGAAUUCUUUGCUUUUUAUCACCCUUUAUUCACUUUUCUGCCUGCUUGUCAAGCACGAGAAUUUAGAGAGAAAGCAAAAGUGAGAAGACUUGACAUUGUAGAGACCUUUAUCCAUUCAUAGUAUACACAUUAGAGGCAGUGUGCAUGUGAACGUAGGACUUUCCAGUUAAUGUCGCAAAAGAUGAUAUGGAAAGGGGAUAGAAAGUUGAGAUGCAAUUUUAUCAGAAAUUAGUAAGCCGUGUCAAGCACGAGAGCAAUCAUAGUUUUAUUGAACAAUUCAAUUCACUUAUUCAGUAGCUUUAUUACUUAUUCCUUACGAGCGAUAUGUUUUAAAUUUUUAAAUCAGAUUAAUAUUCUUUUGAAUCGUUUUAUAUAUAUUUAAGACUUAAAAAAUUCACUAAUGUGUCUCUACAUGUAAUUUGAUCUUUUUCUCCAUUUCAUGGUCUUUUUAAAUUUAUUUUAUUUCUUUAUAUGAAAUAGUAAAAGGGAAAAAAAAGAUAAGAUGGAAAAUUUAAUGAGAAAAAAGGGAUUGAUUUAUAAUUUACUCUAAGAACAAAUUGGGAUCAAUUUGGCUAAGAAAAAAAAUAUUAAAGACUGAAUCUAAAAUAUUAAAAAAAAAUUAAUUUUUAUAAAAUAAUUGAUCAGUCACAUAAAAAUAAAAAUAUUUCUCUUUCUAUUAGUUGAAAAAAUGGCACAGUCCUAGGCAAACUUAAUUUUUUAUCUUUGUGUCUUGGGCUAAUUGAAUGACGAGGUCCAAUUUUUUUUAUUUGAAAUAUCCUUUCAUUACAGAAAUUAGUAAAUAUAAGAAGAGAAAAUAUUUUGUAUAAAAAAAUACAAUUAAAUUUAAGUAGUUCGUGUUUGAAAAUAAUAAUAAAUUUAUUUAUUUAAAUUUCACUAGCCUAGUUAAUUUCAACUUAAUUAGAGAAGAGAUGUAAUGAUCAAUGAUUUCAAAAAAAAAAACAAUUCCAAUUAAUCAUGUUUUCCUGCCUAUAAAUAAUACCUCUCCAUGGAAGAGCCGAAUCUACCAUAGCAAACCAUAUCCUUUGUCUCUUGAAAAACACACCAUGACGACGUCCUUACUAAACAAACCAUUCUUCUCCUUCUUUCUCCACAUCCUGUUUUUGCUCCUUCACAUAUUCAACUCUUCUUCUUUCUUUGCUUUAGCUGAACACACUUCCUCCCCAACUUCACUAUUUGGUAAUAAUAAUACAGAAGCUGAGGCUCUUCUCCAAUGGAAAGCCAGUCUUGACAACCAAAGCCAAUCUCUCCUUUCUUCCUGGGUCGGCAUCAGCCCUUGCAUUAACUGGAUUGGAAUCACCUGUGACAAUUCUGGAAGCGUCACCAAUUUGACACUUGAAAGUUUUGGUUUGAGAGGUACGCUUUAUGAUUUCAACUUCUCAUCCUUCCCCAAUCUUUUUUGGCUUGACCUUCAAAAGAAUUCUCUUUCUGGAACCAUCCCACGUGAAUUUGGAAAAUUAAGAAAUUUAUCUUACCUUGAUCUUUCUAUUAACCACCUCUCUGGUCCCAUCCCUUCUUCUAUUGGAAACAUGACUAUGCUCACUGUUUUAGCACUAUCUCAUAAUAAUCUCACUGGUUCCAUCCCUUCUUUUAUUGGAAACUUCACAAGCCUAUCCGGACUCUAUCUUUGGAGUAACAAACUCUCUGGUUCCAUUCCUCAAGAAAUUGGGUUGCUAGAGUCUCUCAAUAUUCUUGACUUGGCAGAUAAUGUUUUAACUGGUAGAAUCCCUUAUUCCAUUGGAAAAUUAAGAAAUUUAUUUUUCCUUGGUCUUUCUAUGAACCAACUCUCUGGUCUCAUCCCUUCUUCUAUUAAAAACUUGACAAGUGUUUCUGAGUUCUAUCUUGAAAAAAACAAACUCUCUAGUCCUAUUCCUCAGGAAAUUGGGUUGCUAGAGUCUCUCCAUGUACUUGCCUUGGCAGGUAACAAAUUUCACGGCCCAUUGCCCUCAGAGAUGAACAAUCUCACCCAUUUGCAUGGUUUGGCUUUGGAUGGCAACGAAUUCACGGGUCAUUUGCCAGUAGAUUUAUGCCAUGGAGGAGUAUUGAAAAUCUGUACUGCUUCCAACAACUACUUCUCAGGUUCAAUCCCGGAAAGCUUGAAAAACUGUACUGGUUUAUACCGAGUAAGGCUUGAUCGUAAUCAGUUAACAGGAAAUAUUUCUGAGGUUUUUGGUAUCUAUCCACAUCUGAAUUAUAUUGAUUUGAGUUACAAUAAUUUUUAUGGUGAGCUUUCUUCAAAAUGGGGAGAUUGUCGUAACAUGACAAGCCUUCAAAUCUCAAAAAAUAAUGUUUCUGGUGAGAUACCACCAGAGCUUGGGAAGGCUACUCAAUUGCAUUUGUUAGAUCUGUCAUCAAAUCAGUUAAAAGGAGGCAUCCCAAAAGAUUUAGGGGGUUUGAAGUUGUUGUACAAGCUUAUUCUUAACAACAACCAUCUUUCAGGUGCCAUUCCCUUAGAUAUUAAGAUGCUUUCCAAUCUUCAAAUCCUUAAUUUAGCAUCUAAUAAUCUGAGUGGAUUGAUUCCAAAACAACUUGGGGAAUGCUCGAAUUUACUGUUGCUGAACCUCAGCGGUAAUAAAUUUAGAGAAAGCAUUCCAGGUGAGAUAGGCUUUCUACUUUCUCUUCAAGAUCUUGAUCUUAGCUGCAAUUUCCUGACUCGAGAUAUACCGCGGGAACUUGGGCAACUGCAGAAGUUGGAAACUCUGAAUGUCUCCCACAACAUGCUUUCUGGACGGAUUCCGAGCACUUUCAAAGACAUGCUAAGCUUAACAACUGUGGAUAUCUCAUCCAAUAAGCUACAAGGCCCCAUUCCCGAUAUCAAAGCCUUCCACAACGCUUCAUUUGAGGCAUUAAGGGAUAAUAUGGGUAUAUGUGGCAACGCCAGUGGUCUGAAGCCGUGCAAUCUUCCAACAAGCAGCAAAACUGUUAAGAGAAAGAGCAACAAGCUUGUGGUUUUGAUUGUACUCCCUCUUUUAGGAAGCUUGCUUUUAGUGUUUGUUGUGCUUGGAGCUUUAUCCAUUCUCUGCAAAAGAGCUAGGAAGAGAAACGCUGAGCCAGAAAAUGAACAAGAUCGAAACAUGUUCACGAUAUUGGGCCAUGAUGGGAAGAAGUUCUAUGAGAAUAUCGUUGAAGCUACAGAGGAAUUCAACUCCAACUACUGCAUUGGCGAAGGAGGAUAUGGAACUGUUUAUAAAGCAGUGAUGCCAACAGAACAAGUGGUCGCUGUGAAGAAACUUCACCGGUCACAAACAGAAAAGUUGUCCGAUUUUAAGGCUUUUGAAAAGGAAGUUUGUGUGCUGGCAAAUAUUCGACAUCGAAAUAUUGUGAAAAUGUAUGGAUUUUGCUCACAUACAAAGCAUUCUUUUUUGGUUUACGAGUUCAUAGAAAGAGGAAGCUUGAGAAAGAUUAUAAGCAGUGAGGAACAAGCAAUUGAGUUCGAUUGGACGAAAAGGCUAAACGUUGUGAAAGGGGUGGGUGGAGCUUUAUCCUAUCUACACCAUUCUUGCUCUCCUCCGAUCAUUCAUCGAGACAUUACCAGCAAUAAUAUCCUUGUGGACUUGGAAUAUGAAGCACACGUCUCCGACUUUGGCACCGCUAGACUGUUGAUGCCUGACUCAUCCAAUUGGACCUCAUUUGCAGGUACCUUUGGAUAUACUGCUCCAGGUAAGUAGCUUUAUUUCAACGUUAAGUUACUAAUGCGUAAUAGUGAAGAUAAUAUAGUGUUUUUUCAGCUUUUAUUAUAAGGUCUUUUCUUUCAACUAUUUGAUAAAAAAACCAUGCAUAAUCAUGUUUUUUUGGCAGAGCUAGCUUACACAAUGAAGGUGACUGAAAAAUGCGAUGUCUAUAGCUUCGGAGUGGUAACAAUGGAGGUGAUGACAGGAAGGCACCCCGGCGAUCUCAUUUCAGCACUCUUAUCACCAGGAUCUUCGUCAUCAUCAUCGAUGCCACCGAUUGCUCAACAUGCACUAUUGAAGGAUGUGUUAGACCAACGCAUCUCGCUUCCUAAAAAAGGAGCAGCAGAGGGCGUUGUCCACAUGAUGAAAAUUACACUUGCAUGCUUGCAUCCCAAUCCCCAAUCUCGGCCUACAAUGGAAAAAAUUUCUUUCGAGCUUACAACUAAGUGGCCUCCACUGCCUCAGGCAUUCGGCACAAUAAGUUUGGGAGAUCUCUUCUCAUAGAGUAUAGCUACUUCUAUUCGAUUAUCAAUUGGAACAAUAAUUAUCUGUAAUAUGAAUUUUAUCAUCGAACUUUUUUUCUUUCAAAUUAUGUUGGCACUGUUUUAUGCGUUAGAAUUUGUUUUCUUUGCAUGAAGGGUUUGAGAACAUUAUUUUGAUUCUAAAUUGAAGAUCAAUACACUACGGAAUGAAAUUUUAAGUUAUCGCUGAAACAAUUAAAAGAACAAUGAAAAAAAAAAAAAAGAGCUUCAGUAUCCAAUGAAAUCAACUGUAAGAAGGUAGCAGCAAGAUCCAGUCUACCAUCCAAUGAAUUUCCAACUUGAUGUUGAAUUUUCUAAUGAAAUGAAUUUCCAUCAUUUCAUUAGAAAAUUCAAACCCAAAGAACAUGAUAACAGUCUAUAUAGACUAUCGAUAAAGGCUACCAUUCAACCAUGAUGAGAGGAUUGAAGCUUCAAUAAUACCAUUCAAUGUAUUAUUAACCCGCUUUAGAAUGCAGAACACUAUAAUACUCUCCCCUUGAUCGAAUAAGUAACUGCUCUACAUGGUAUUUGAUAGGCCACUUCGAAGAGCUGCACCCUCUCCCCUCCCCUUGCUCGAAUAAGUAACUGCUCUACAUGGUACCUCACAUUCCCAUUAGAUACUUUCCAUGCGAGCUGUUUUUGUAUGAUUUUAUUACUAGGUGGGUCAAAUCUUUCGUUCGGACAUGCCCUGAAAUGUUAGAAAAAAUCCAUGCUGGAUCUCUUUUUUGGGGCUAAAUCUGACGACCACCUCCUAUCUUAUUUCUUAAGACUUGUAGGCAUACCACGUCGCAUUCCAGAUUAUUCAAAUGCUUAUGCUGGAUGAAAUGUUUCUCCAAGUCCUCCUACGUAUUUCUUAGGGACUUCUAGGAGAGAGACAUGAAGAGAAGGAAAAAUCAGGGUCUGAAAGAAUCUCUCUACAUGGUUUGCAAACGUACUGUCAAUGGUUGUGACUGGGACUUCACAGAAGAUCCUUAUGAGAAUGUCAUACGGGAGCUGAUAUGUGACAUGCCAUGGAAUGGUUUGCAGCUAUCUGCUGCUGCUUCAGAGUUCAGUUACCAUACAAACACUAAAGCUUGAUCGAGUUGGAAAGCCAAGAGGGUUUUGAUCUCUCUUUGUGGUCUUUUCAGCCUUUUAUUUUUCUAAAGUAUUUGCGUACGGAUUAACUUUUUCAAUGCUAAGCACAAGAAAAGAAACAUUUCAAAUUUACCAACCAGACAGGAAACAUGUAAAAAGACAGUACCUAGCAUUGCAUUACCAUAGCAUGAAACUUCAAAUACUAUCACAUACAGAUCUUACAAGCUCAGGACUCGAGUACAGUUUUUUAUCAAAUUUUUUGACUUGAUUCAAUUUCCUAGAGCCCUAAAUGUCUGUCUACACAUCAUUUAAUUAAAUAUCAAGUUGAAACAAACGGUAUAAAAAUAAAUACUAUACUCCAACAUGGAAGACAAGAAGAGUAUAUAAUUAUAUUGAAAAAGAAAAUGUGAGAAAAUAAUUUUUCAAUCUAGAAAAGAAAUAUAAUAAAGACUUUUUAUCAAGUAUGAAAACAAAAUUUAAUAAAAAGGAACAAAUUAUAGUUUCUCUAAAAGCGAAGCCACUUAACAAAAAUUGAAUACAUUGAUUAAUCUACCACAUAGGCAAAGGAUACAGCGAUAAAAUUUCACACCAGCAUUAUUUAAAUCUGUGAAGAAGUAAUCUACCAUUUGUACGGUUCUAUAAUUAAGUAGAAACUCAAAUUUUCUCCACUGUGAAUCACCCCAACACACUUAACCUCAUGAUUCAAGAGGUACUUGCCGUCUCAUUUCCUUUUGGCAUAUUUAGAGAGAUUUAACACUACUUACCUUUCACACAGCAAUUUAGAAACUGAAAGCAAUGCAUAUGGGGGGAGAGACAAGCCAAAGUACAUAUAACAAGAAACAAAAGCGUUUAAUUCUCAAAUCAUUGUCAUGAAUAAUGCCAACAAGGACUCAUCAAUAAAGUGCAAAAUUAAACAACAUUAUUCAUAUAGACUUUGUUCAUGGUUUUUCUCAGCAACCUGAAAGAAGAAAUCAGAAAGCUGUUACCAGAAAGUUGAUUCUUCUUCACUUCUCUUCAGUGUUUGCUUUCUCGAAAAAGGUCUUUUUAAUCCAAUCAAAUGGCUGGAAAAGAAACAAUUAAAACUUUAAGGUUUCAUGUUCAUAAAUUGAGGAAAAGAGACACUAUGGACAAAACAUAGUUUGCAAAAACAUUUUCUUUUUGUUGGAGUAGAGAAAGCGCAUUUGCUUAUGAAAUUGAAGGACCACCUGUUGAGAUAUUUAACUUUGCCUACACAUAAUCAACAAUAAUGCUUGAUAAACAAUUUCUCAGGUUUAUUUCUCCCGAUCCUUUUUCUUUCUGUAGUAUAUUAUGGUAUAGCUAAUCACAUGUAAUGACAAAUUACAGCCAAAUUAUUAAAAGCAUAGAUUAAGAAAGGAUGCCUAAUCAGUCCCUCAUAAUUGUUAAAAUGAGGAAUGGGCGGUGUAAUCUCAACCAAUCCAGCAACUGAUCUUUGUUGCCAGUCUGUCUUUAUUACAAAGUCCAACCCAGAGCAUGCCCUAUCUGUCAAGAGAAGCUAAACAAUCAAAAGAUGGUUUUCCCAUGCGGGCACGUCACUUGCUGUAAAUAUGAGUUUUACCUGUUUCCAUUUCAUGAUUCUUCAACUUCCUAAAAUCCAUUCAUGAAAUAAUUAUGGUGUUAGAACAACAAACAUUCAGUUUACCGACUUUAGAACUGGCUCUCUCGUGUGAAUUUAAUACAACAAACAUUGAUAAAAUGAAGCAAAUGACCCAAUAGGCAUCCCAAACAGAACAAACCAAACAAUCCUAAAUCUGGAAUCUGGAUCCAGCUAAAACUGGGCAUCCAACCUUCUAAGCCAAUAAUAGUAGCCAGUAGGUGCAAAGGCCGAUGCAUGAUAAGAAACCAUCUUAUAAAAGACUACUUUUCCUCCUAGUUGUCACACAACAUGUUGAUAAUCCUGCUUCCUAUAUCUGCAUUUUGUCACUUAAAAGUUAGGAGAGACCAUGGCAAUUUUUCUACCUUGAUAUGAUGGGUCAACUGCAUUCUCAGUUGAUGAAUACUUUGUCCUAGCAUCCUUGAUCCACCAGUUCCUCAGACUUCUCUCUUUCAUGUGUGUGUGAGUGCGGCACACAUGAUUGCUUGCAUGCAUGUACUCAGACAUACAUGCAUGCUUGCUUGUCUCUUGGAUGUCCUCAACCAUCUUAAGUACGUUGGAGUUGACUUUAUUACUUGUUGAUUCCUCUCAUAUGAAAUAUUUCACCCUGGUUAAGCACCAUUUCAUGCUUUUUUCUUUCUUGCAGGUUUCUUUGCAAUGACUGAGCGCAAAAUGCAUGAUAACAGGUUCCAACGUAAAUGGGUAAUGUGCCCAACAUGUCGGCAGCAUACUGAUUUUGGGAAUAUUGCUUAUGCCGAUGAUAAACGGGACAAAUCUUGUAGUUCUGCUAUGCUGGAUGCAAUUCAAGGCUGUGAAAAAACUGAAGCGUCUUUGGCUGUUCAAGGUUCAUAUGGAACAAAGGUUUACUUCCUAAUCUAAUGCCUUGAGCAAAUUCAAAUUCAAAUUUGUAGUCUUGGAACAUGCACAUGGUGCACUUAAGACAGCAUGUUACUAUUGCAUUUAUAUACGAGGUAUUUCUCCUUUUCCCAGAGCAUAAACCUUGUUCACUUCUUUUUUGGCACCAUAAAGGUUGAAGCAGUCACUAGAAGAAUCUUGUGGAUAAAGUCUUCAGAUCCUAGAGCAAAGGUUCUCGUAUUCUCAAGUUGGAAUGAUGUCCUUGAUGUGUUAGAGCAUGCUCUCAAUGCUAAUGAAAUCACCUAUAUCCGGAUGAAAGGAGGAAGGUAGAUAGAUCUCUUGAUCAUCUUAUUUAUGUUUUUUUUGUAGUUCAACUGAUCUUCAUGGACCUUGAUGGGCUAAAAGGAAAGGGCUAUGCCGUUCAGGAGAAUUUUUGUUUUGCUUUUCAGGUUUGCCAAAAGAUGGUUGUUAAAUUCCUCUUAAUUUGGUAACUCGAACAAAAUUAUCAAGAAACCACAUCAUCCAAGAAAAGUGGUUCCUUGUGUUUUCAGCAUUCUUAUACAAGCAAAGUGCACAAAUUAGGUUGAUGAAUACUAAUGAUAACACGAACAAAAUAAAAGGAGAUUGGGGAUGAAAAAUAACUGCCUUGCAUAAUUUGUGCAAAUAUUGAAAUCUUGUAAUUUACCUUUGGGGAGGGAAGAGAGAGAUCCAAUUAUAGGUAGAUCAACACUUGGUGUUCUGUAAAAAUUGGUAUUGUGCGAAGUUUAACAGUUUGAAUGUAUGCAUACCUCUUUGUUUCCCAGUGCCAAAAAUACUGUUAGAAGUGUGUUUCAGGUAUUUUAAUGUUGAUCGAGUUAUUUGUAGACUUCAACUUAUUUUUAUCAUGUCUUUUGGUUGUGACUUCAUAAAUGCAGGAAAUCACAUGUUGCCAUCAGUGAAUUCAGAGCGCAGAAUAGCAGUCCCAAAAGAACUGAUAGACACCAACAAGAAACAAAAUCUGUUCAAGUGUUGCUGCUCUUAAUCCAGCAUGGAGUCAAUGGACUCAAUCUGUUAGAAGCACAGCAUGUUGUUCUUGUGGAGCCACUGCUCAAUCCAGCAGACGAGGCUCAAGCAGUCAGCCGGGUGCACCGAAUUGGGCAGGAAAAGAGGACAUUAGUCCAUCGAUUUAUAGUAUGCUCCUUUUCCUUUUCUUUUUUCCUUUUUUUUUUUUGUUAAACUAAUUAUGGAUGCUAUACAUUGCAUAUAGUAGACAUGCAUUUGAGAUACAUAACCUCACCACACUGAAGAUAGCAUGGGGUAUUUUGGGACUCUUUGUUUGAGUUCCUUUUUUAAAUAAAUUACAUUUCUAUUUAGCUCUCCAUUUAUCCAUUCAGUUUCUAUAUGUAAUAAUCUUCAUUAUAACUAGCUCUGUUCUGCAAUCUCCCAUUCCAAUGUCUGUGCUGAACAAAGAUUUCUUCUUUAAACAGAAUUGUCAAGAUUUAUGCCUUCAAGAAACCUCAUUCUCAUGCCAUCUAUCAUUCGUGAAAUGUCUAUAUCAUAUGGAUGACAAGAUAAUACAAGAGAAAUUCUGAAAUGUUUUAUGUAUUUUUCACUAAGAGAGUUACAAUAUAUAUAUACAUCAAGAAGGAUCAAAUCCCUUAAUUCUAGGAUCUAAUAAAUAUAAUCAGAUCCCUUAAUCUUAGGCCUAGACAAUAAUGAAAAUCUUAAAGAUAUAAUCAAGGGAUAUACAGCUAUGAAAGAAACUAAAUAAGGAAAGAAGAAUAUAAUAUACAGCUAUGAAAGAAACUAUAUAAUGAAAGAAGAAACUAUAUAAGGAAAGAAGAAUAUAUUGACAUCCCCCCUCAAAUUGAUGCGGGUAGGUCUAAGAGCAUCAAUUUGCUACUGAGAAAUUUAUGUCGUUGGCGUGUCAAAGCUUUUGUAAAGGCAUCAGCUAUUUAAAGAUCAGUAUUAACAUGAGGAAGAGUGAUAACACCUCGAGUAAAGGCCUCCCUAAUGUAAUGACAGUCCACCUCUAUGUGCUUUGUGCGUUCAUGAUAUAACGGAUUCGCAGCUAUUUGAAUAGCACUAGUAUUAUCACCAUGAAGUGGAGUAGGAUCAGUAGGAGGGAACCCAAGUUCAGAACUAAGACCACGUAACCACACAAUUUCAGACAGCCUCUGUAGAAGAUUUAGAGACACAGUCCUGUUUCUUACACUUCCACGAAAUCAAGGCAUCUCCAAGAAAAAUGCACCAGCCUGUGAUAGACUUCCUAGUAUCCGGGCAGCCAGCCCAAUCGGCAUCACUAUAUGAAGUCAAAUUAAGAGUAGAUUGUGUAGGAAAAAACAACCCACGAGUAGGUGACCUAAUUAAGUAUCUAAUAAUACAACGAACUGCAACAAGAUGAAGAUGUCGAGGUGCCUGCAUAAAUUUGCUAACUAUAUGGACAGCAUAGGAGAUAUCAGGCCUUGUAAUUGUUAGGUAGAUAAGACUACCAACAAGUUGCCUAUAUAAAAAAGGAUCAGGCAAAGGCUCGCCUUCAUCUUUUUGGUAUUUCACAUUCACCUCCAUUGGCGUAUCAACAGCAGUAGCAUCCUUUAAACCAGCUAGCUCAAUGAGAUCCUGGAUAUAUUUAUGUUGAUUUAAGAACAAACCAUGAUCUCUAGAGUGAACUUCCAGCCCCAAAAAAUAUGUGAGAUGCCCAAGAUCUUUCAUUUGAAAUGUACUACGCAACAUAUGUUGAAGCUUUGUGAUCAGCCCUAUGUCAUUACCAGUGAUGAUAAUAUCAUCGACAUAGACUAAGAGAAAUACCAUACCAGUGGUGGUCUUGUAAAAGAAGAGUGAUGAAUCAUAUUGACUUUGUGUGAAGGAGAAGGUGAGAAGAGUGUUGCGAAACUUCUCAAACCAGGCUCUAGGUGCUUGUUUCAACCCAUACAAAGAGCGUCUUAGCUUGCAAACUUCAUCAGAAGCCGUUGUUGACAUACCGGGUGGAAGUUUCAUGUAAAUCUCUUCCUUAAGAUCCCCAUGCAAGAAGACAUUUUUUACAUCCAUCUGAUGUAAAGGCCAAGCUUUAGAGGCUGCAAUAGCAAGAAUUGUUCUCACUGUGGUUAUCUUAGCAACUGGUGCGAAUGUUUCUUCAUAGUCGAAGCCAUAUUCUUGUUUAUUGCCAAGAGCAACCAAUCGAGCUUUGUAUCUAUCUAAAGAGCCAUCAGACUUGAGUUUCACAAUAUAGACCCACUUACUACCAAUGGGCUUAACAUGUGGAGGACAAGAAAUAAUGUCCCAAGUAUGAUUUGCCUCAAGUGUUUGAAGUUCUGCCUCCAUUGCUUGUUGCCAGCACUCAUGUUCUCUAACCAUACCUUUCAGGAGGUUUGUGAGGUCUAGAGCUUUUACGAAGAGGUGGUGGAUCAUAGGAAGUGGGUAGAACAGGAUCAGAUGCCGCAGGAAGAUGUGAAGGAACCUCAGUGAGACCUGUAGAAGGAUCAGAAGCAGGAGUGCAUCUAUGAUAAACAUAACCAGGUUUAAACCUUUGUACUGGUGUUGGUGACUCAGGAAAAUGUGGUAAAACAGAUAGAGAAGGAAGUGCUGAAGUCUGUUGUGUGCGAAAGAAGGGCUGAUUUUAAAAAAAAAUGACAUUCCUAGAGACACGAGUUCGACGUGCAUGUGGAUCAUAACAAAGAAAUCCUUUUUGGAUUCCAGCAUAUCCUAAGAAGGCACACUUGACAGAUUGGGCAGUAAGUUUAUUUCUCUCAUGUGCAGGAAGGUGAACAAAACAAAUACAUCCAAAAAUAUGAAGAUUGGAAUAAUUUGGUGCAUGUCUAAACAAACGAAAGUAAGGAGAAUCAUUGUUCAAGUUGGGAGAUGGUAAUCGAUUAAUCAAAUAAACAGCAGUACACAAAGCUUCACACCAAAAAUGAGAAGGAACACAUGACUCAAUUAGAAGAGUUCGAACAACAUCAAGAAGAUGACGAUUCUUUCUUUCAGCCACACCGUUUUGUUGUGGGGUGAAAGAACAAGAACGUUGUGAUAUGAUCCCAUGACUUUGAAGAAAAAAUUGAAAUUCAUUUGACAUGUACUCACCACCUGAAUCAGAUUGCAGAAUUUUGAUUUUGGCAAAAAAUUGUGUUUCAACUAAGGCAAGAAAUGCUUUAAACACAGAGAAGACCUCACUUUUAGAUCGAAGAAAAUAUACCCAAGUAAAGCGAGUGAAAUCAUCUAUAAAUGUAACAAAGUAUUUGUAAUGUUCAUGAGAAAUUAUAGGUGCAAUACCCCAUACAUCAGUAUGCACGAUUUCAAAAGGUUUGGUGGUGCGGGUUUUAUGCAAUGGAAAAGGAAGUGUUUUGCUCUUACCAAGUUUGCAAGAUGCACAAUCAACAAUAUCAUUAUUAGAAGAAGUCGAAUUUUUAUUUCCAAGUAAACCAGAUUUAAACAAGACUCGAAGUACAUGAGAAUUAGGGUGUCUUAAACGUCUAUGUCACACCUGAUUAUCACAUUGAACAGCAUUACAGGCAACAUAAUUUGACACAGGAUAGGGAGAUAGAAGCAAGGGAAAUAGUUGUCCCACUUUAGGUCCCUUCGCGAUCAUCUUCCCGGACACUUGAUCCUGCACAAAACAACCAGAUUUUGAAAAAUGAACAUCACAAUUGUUGUCAACUAAUUGGCCAACAGAUAUAAGAUUAGUGGACAGCUUAGGAGACACAAACACAGUAUUCAAAAGGGCUGAAAUAUCACCAACAACUGUGAUAGACAAGGGAUUACCAUCGGCAGUACGAAUAUGAAGAUUUCCUUUAUAUUUUUGAACAUUAUUUAAAGGUAAGGCAGUGUUGGUCAUGUGAUUGGAAGCAGCAGAAUCAAAAUACCAAGGCUUAGGAAUAGAAUUUUGGUUACCUGAAAGGCCUAAAGCAGAAAGGGCAGAAACUAUCAUUUGUUGGAUUAUUUCAGGAGUAAUAGAAGACUGACCAGGACUAGGAGCAUUUGAGGAACCAAUCGAGACAUUAUAAGCAGUUUCAGAUUUCUUUGGAGACCGGAUGGAGCAAUCUUUGAUGAUAUGCCCUGUUUUCUUACAAUAGUUGUAGAAUAUUUUAGUGCAAGUAGUGGCAAUAUGCCCAAAUCCUUUGCAACUAUAGCACUGAACAUUAGACAUAUAUCUUCCUCCUUUAGAUCUCCCUUGAGCAGCGUAGGCAACAGGAAUUGGAGCAGAAUUUUGAGCUUUCUGCUCCAAGAUAGCCUGUGUAAUGAUCCGUUGUUCUUCCUUGAGAAGCUCUCCUACACAAAUAUCCAAGAAAAGAACUGGUUCUCUAUUCAUCAGGUUGGACCUGAUUACUUCAAAUUCCCCCCUUAACUUUAUUAAAAACUUAUCACGCUUGCUGGUUUCAUGCACACUUUGGAUAGCAAUAAGUCCUUCAGGAGGUACACUUGCAUACACAAUAUCUGUGUACUCAGCCCACAGAUUUACAAAGGAAGAAUAAAACUCUUGGAUUGACAUACUGCCUUGACUGAAUUGACCCAACUCAAGUUCCAAUUGGAACCUUCGUGCUGUAUUGCUUUGUUUGUAAACUUUCUUCAGGUAAUCCCACAUUUCUCUAGAGGAUUUGUAAGGCUUGAGAUUGAGAAGCAUGGAGUGUCCAUACUUCCAAGGAUCGAAGACAUAAUCUGAGCAUCCUUCACCUCCCAUUUCACAUAUUUCUCCUUCUCCUUCUCACUGUCAGGUGCAGGAUCUGUCCCAGCAAUAUGACCCCAUAAUUCCUUUCCCUUGACAAAAAUUUGAAACUGGAAAGCCCAGGCAGAAUAGUUCUUUCUAGUAAAUCGAACAAGAAAAUGUUCAGAUCGUUCAAGAGACAUGAUUUAACUAGAAACAAGAACCAAGAGAUCAAGUCCAAGAAAAAAAAUAGAAGAACCAGACACAAGAUGAUGAUUUAACUAGAAACAAGAACCAAGAGAUCAAGUCCAAGAAAAACAGAAUAGAAGAACCAGACAAGGAACCAGACACAAGAUGAAUAGAUUUCAGAGUUUUGGCUCUGAUACCAUGACAAGAUAAUACAAGAGAAAUUCUGAAAUGUUUUCUGUAUUUUUCACUAAGAGAGUUACAAUAUAUAUAUACAUCAAGAAGGAUCAAAUCCCUUAAUUCUAGGAUCUAAUAAAUAUAAUCAGAUCCUUUAAUCUUACGCCUAGACAAUAAUGAAAAUCUUAUAGAUAUAAUCAAGGGAUAUACAGCUAUGAAAGAAACUAAAUAAGGAAAGAAGAAUAUAAUAUACAGCUAUGAAAGAAACUAUAUAAUGAAAGAAGAAACUAUAUAAGGAAGGAAGAAUAUAUUGACAAUGAAGACCACUUGUAUUGAUUUUGCCAAAGACUUUCUCGUAAAGCAAUUUGCACGUAGUGUUUCUGUGGACAUGGGCUCAUGGAAGCCCUUCAUCCUCCCCUGCAGAGCUUGAGGUGCCACCGGGUCCAGAAUCCUCUGGCAUAUGUUUAGGUGUUUGAUUUUGUAACUUUUUUAUUUAUUUUAAAUUAAUAUAUUUUUUAAUGUUUUUAUGUCAUUUUAAUACAUUGAUAUCAAAAAUAAUUUUUAAAAAUUAAACAAAUAUUAUUUUAAUAUAUUUUUAAAUGAAAAACAUUUUAAAAUACAACAUCAACUAUACUUCAAAACAUAUCCUAACACUUGAUAUUAUGAUUUUAAUAGGUCAAGACACUAUUUUAUACCUAAAAAUAAUAAAUUUUAUUAUAACUAAAUAAAAUAAUAAUAAUAAAAAAACUGACCUAAAGAUCAUAUAUACAUGUCAUAGCUCGUAUGAAAGAGUGUUGGGUAUAUCAGCUUAGAGUAUAGACAGAAACCUAUUCUUAAUAACUUGCAUUGGAUAAGCUAAUACACACACUAUAUAUAUAGUUGAAAAGAUUGAAAUGAUAAAAUGAUGAGUUUUUCACAACUCAAUGAAUAAAUAGAACAAACAUACAAUAAGAGACUAAGGUUGCGUUUGUUUUUCGGAAAGUGAUUUUCGGGAAACUACUUUCCAAACUUUUCUCUGUUUGUUUGCUAUUAGGAAAGUUGGUCAACAAAAAAUACUUUCCGGUCAACGAAAAACACUUUCCAGUCAAAGAAAAAUUUGGCUUGGUUUCCAGGAAAGUGUUUUCCUUUUAUUUUGGGCGGAAAACACUUUUCGGAAGUUGUGAAAAAUUUAGAAAUGUCAUAUUAUUUGCUGAUUAUAUCAAAUUUGGUCCUCAAACUUUUGAUUGCUAUAUAUAUUUUAUUUUGAAUAUUUAUUUUUCAAUUUCAUCCCUUAGCAUUUAAUUUUUAUAUUAAUUUUGGUCCUUAUUUUUAUAAUUGUUAUUUGCUUUUCCCUUAUCAUUUUUUAAUUGAAAUUUUUUAUCUAUCAAAUUUGAUCCUCAUUCUUUUGAUGUUACUUAUUUUAUUUAAAAUUAUUUAUAAAAUGUUAAUUAUUAUUAUUUUAAUUUCUUCAUCUUUCAAUUUUUUUAUUUUUUAGAUUUGAUCUCUAUUAUUUUGAUUAUUAUUUAUUUUAUUUGAGAUAAUUUAUGAAAUUAUAUAUUUUUUUCAAUUUCAUUCUCAUUCAACUUUUUAAUUUGUAAGAUUUGUUCCUCAUUAUUUUAAUAAACUUGAAAAAAAUAAAACAUUAAUAAGUUAUUUUCCAGCUCAUUUUCUAUGAUAUAACUAAACACUGGAAAGUAUUUUCCAACUUAUUUUUCAUUACACUACAAAAUAUCGGAAAAUAAUUCACUUUCCUGAAAUUUACUUUUCAAAAGGAAACUACUUUCUAGCAAACAAACGGGGCCUAAGUUAUAAUGUGAUUAAUUUAUUAGGUUCAUACAUGAUAAUAAUAUAACUAAGCAAACCAAUAACACAUAAAUAUAGUUAAAGUUAUGUCAUUUUUUUAGAAAAUCAGAUAUAAAAAUGAAAAGGGGAAGAAAAUGUGUUCGCAUCAAGGUAAACUAUCAUAACAAAUAUUUGCGAUAAAAAAAUAAUUAUCAUUUCUGUUUAGGAUACUUUAAGGAUAGUUUAAUUUUUUAUAUAAAAAAAUAUUAAAAACAUUAAUUAGCAUUUCGGUUUAGGAUAUUUCAAGAGUAGUUUAGAUAUGUUUUUUAUAACAAAUGAAAAAAUUAUAAAAAUUAUUAAUUAGAAUUUCUUUUUAGGAAAAUUCAUGGAUAAUUUAAUUUGUUUUUAUAAAAAAUAGAAAAAUAUUAUAAAAAAAAUAUUUAGGAUAUUUCAAAUGUAGUUUAAACGUUUUUUUUUUAUAAAAAACAUUAAUUAUCAUUUCUUUUUAGAAUAAUUCAAGGGUAGUUUAAAUGUUUUUUUAAAAAAUUAAUUAGAAUUUAUUUAGGAUACUUCAAGGGUAGUUUGAAUUUUUUUUUAUAAAAUUAAUUAGAAUUUUUGUUUAGGAUACUUCAAGGGUAGUUUAAAUUAAUUAUAAUUUUAUAAAAAAUAUAUAUAAAAAAAAUUAAUUAGAAUUUUUGUUUAGGAUACUUCAAGGGUAUAAAAAAAAUUAAUUAGAAUUUUGUGGUCAAACCUGUGUUUAGAUAUGUUUUAAAAAUAAAUUUAAUAUAAAAAAUAAUUAAAUUAAUAUUUUUUUAGUGUUAUUAAAAAUAAAAAAUAUUCAAAAAAUAUUUAUUUUAAUAUAUUUUUAAAUAAAAAAUACUUAAAAAAAAAAACAAGAACUUCAAGCAAGAACUAGCUAGGUAAAAUUUCUCCCUUGUUAAGGGAAGGUCGUAUUGGAGUCAUAACCCUCGUGCCAAUGGCUUGGAAACUAGUCAUUGUUAAAGUAUGGUUAGCAGUACUUUGAGUUCUCUGCAGCAGAUAGGAUAUUCGCAUCAACUCCAGCUUUUCCUCAUCGAAUUACUCUUAACAACAAUCUAAGUCUGUACAAGAUCAACAGAACAUCAGAAAAAUGGAUUGAUAGGAACUUGACAAGGCUCAUUGAAGGACUGUAUUUCUUUUUUAUUAACAUGGGUAUUUCUUUUUUAUUAAUAUGGGUGUUUGACGAGGCUCUUUUUUAUUUCUUUUUUAUUAACCGGCAAACAAAUUGAUGGUUCACUGCAAGGACAAAAAGCAAGGACCUCGGAGUCCAAUAUCUGUCUCGGAAACAACAGUUCCACCUUAAAACAGAUAUUGAUGCAUCUAGUGCAAAAAGAGACGAGAACAGAUGCAGCAGAAAGCAUUUCAUGUGGCCUGUCAGGGAGGAUGGGUUCGAUUCUAGCAACGGGAACAGCAAUUGGAAUCGGGCGUAUCAGUGGUAAUGGAAGUUUUCCAAUUCAAUAAACAAGCGUGUCUCACGUCAAUUACAAGUUAGUUACAUGCUGUUAAGUCUGAUUCCUAUCAUCACUCUUUCUAUCUCUCUGUAUCUUAAAAGCCUGUGAUACACGUUAACAACAGAGAGCAGGACCCUGACCAUCUAAAGCUCUCACAAGUGUGAAAGCAAACUCAACGAAGACCAGAGAUGCGUAUAUGCUUGCUGCUGCUCGUGUUUCAUGAUACAAAUUAAACCCUCUUUGCGUAUAUGCUUGCUGCUGCUCGUGUUUCAUGAUAAAAAAUAAACCCUUUCACGUCAAUUACGAUAUCUUCCAUUGAAUACAUUGAAGUGAUCAAAGUGCUAGAAAAAACUUUCGAGAUUAAAGUUUCUUUCAUAGAAUUCUUUGCUUUUUAUCACCCUUUAUUCACUUUUCUGCCUGCUUGUCAAGCACGAGAAUUUAGAGAGAAAGCAAAAGUGAGAAGACUUGACAUUGUAGAGACCUUUAUCCAUUCAUAGUAUACACAUUAGAGGCAGUGUGCAUGUGAACGUAGGACUUUCCAGUUAAUGUCGCAAAAGAUGAUAUGGAAAGGGGAUAGAAAGUUGAGAUGCAAUUUUAUCAGAAAUUAGUAAGCCGUGUCAAGCACGAGAGCAAUCAUAGUUUUAUUGAACAAUUCAAUUCACUUAUUCAGUAGCUUUAUUACUUAUUCCUUACGAGCGAUAUGUUUUAAAUUUUUAAAUCAGAUUAAUAUUCUUUUGAAUCGUUAUAUAUAUAUUUAAGACUUAAAAAAUUCACUAAUGUGUCUCUACAUGUAAUUUGAUCUUUUUCUCCAUUUCAUGGUCUUUUUAAAUUUAUUUUAUUUCUUUAUAUGAAAUAGUAAAAGGGGAAAAAAGAUAAGAUGGAAAAUUUAAUGAGAAAAAAGGGAUUGAUUUAUAAUUUACUCUAAGAACAAAUUGGGAUCAAUUUGGCUAAGAAAAAAAAUAUUAAAGACUGAAUCUAAAAUAUUAAAAAAAAAUUAAUUUUUAUAAAAUAAUUGAUCAGUCACAUAAAAAUAAAAAUAUUUCUCUUUCUAUUAGUUGAAAAAAUGGCACAGUCCUAGGCAAACUUAAUUUUUUAUCUGUGUCUUGGGCUAAUUGAAUGACGAGGUCCAAUUUUUUUUAUUUGAAAUGACCUUUCAUUAUAGAAAUUAGUAAAUAUAAGAAGAGAAAAUAUUUUGUAUAAAAAAAUACAAUUAAAUUUAAGUAGUUCGUGUUUGAAAAUAAUAAUAAAUUUAUUUAUUUAAAUUUCACUAGCCUAGUUAAUUUCAACUUAAUUAGAGAAGAGAUGUAAUAAUCAAUGAUUUCAAAAAAAAAAACAAUUCCAAUUAAUCAUGUUUUCCUGCCUAUAAAUAAUACCUCUCCAUGGAAGAGCCGAAUCUACCAUAGCAAACCAUAUCCUUUGUCUCUUGAAAAACACACCAUGACGACGUCCUUACUAAACAAACCAUUCUUCUCCUUCUUUCUCCACAUCCUGUUUUUGCUCCUUCACAUAUUCAACUCUUCUUCUUUCUUUGCUUUAGCUGAACACACUUCCUCCCCAACUUCACUAUUUGGUAAUAAUAAUACAGAAGCUGAGGCUCUUCUCCAAUGGAAAGCCAGUCUUGACAACCAAAGCCAAUCUCUCCUUUCUUCCUGGGUCGGCAUCAGCCCUUGCAUUAACUGGAUUGGAAUCACCUGUGACAAUUCUGGAAGCGUCACCAAUUUGACACUUGAAAGUUUUGGUUUGAGAGGUACGCUUUAUGAUUUCAACUUCUCAUCCUUCCCCAAUCUUUUUUGGCUUGACCUUCAAAAGAAUUCUCUUUCUGGAACCAUCCCCAAUUUUUUGUUUUGUAAAUCAAUUUGAUGAAAUUCACAAAACAAAUCAUCAUCGUAGCUGUGUAGGUAGAGAAGCUAUUUGGCAAAUGUAUGCUUGGCGGUCAACUAAGCUGGCAAUUCCAUGGUAUAUCCAGGCCAUUAGACUCAUUUAGAACAUAUCUGAUUGAUCGUGUCUAAUGAAAUAUUAAAGAAAAUGAUAAGAGGCGUUUUCAGAAAAUGAAGAAAGAGUCGAGAGAAGACACUUGAAGGUGAAUUUAAUCGCUGAAGAUGCAUCUGGGUGUAUUGAAUCGAGUUAUUUUUCUCAAGUGUAACAGGAAACACAAAAGCUACCCGCUUUUUAAUAUAAAUACAAAUUCAGGACACCCUUGUGUAGGGCAUUGAGAGCCUUCCAUCAUGGUGUUGUCAGUUAACAAAAGCAUGUCCAUUAUUGUUCCCUUUUGAGACGGUGACAGUAAUUCUAUUCAACUGCUUUUGGAUUGUCCCGUGAAUUAUACCAUCUUCAGCAGCAGCCAGGUGCUGAUCUUGAUGGAUCAGCAAAUGAGGGAGAGAGAGAGAGGUGAGGGUUGGAAGACUACAGUGCUAGAAUGUUCGGGUUUCCCGUGACUGUGUUUUGGAUUCUGCUGCAGAAGCAAUGGAGAUGUAUUCCUCGGGGAAAAGCUCACUCGAAAGAGGUGUUUAUAACACCUUAUUUACGAGUCUUUAGUGCAGAGGGUGUUGAUGGUCCUGUCACACUCUUAACUCGAGAACAUUAUGUGAUUUAGGCAGUACAGAAGCAAUAAAGUAAAGCCCUUUGGUUUUAGUAGGUUCCACGGCUGUUUUAACUUUUAAGCAAUCUAUUCUCUCCUGUUUGAAUUCCUGAGCCUUUUCAGGACCUGGCAGGGUAGCCUGUGGACUGUUUCGUUAGAUGAAGAACCAAGUCCAAGUGAGAACAGAAAGCUGGGAGCCAAGGGGACCAGAAGUGGCAGUGUGUUUGACAAAUUUCUGACAGACUAUUCAGGAGUCGAAAACUCUGGUAGGCAUUAGGCUUUUGCGCCUUUAUAACGAUUUUAAGAUAUGAUUUGUCAAGCAAGAGAUUGGUUCUCCUCGAGCAUGAGGACUCUCACAAGUCACAAUAGUUCAAUCGUUUCAGCAACCUUAAAUAGCCCACUAUUUAAGGUUGCUGAAAAGAUUGAACUAUUGUUCCGAGACAGAGGUUGCGAGGCUUCUAGUUCAGGUGCACGCUGCUGCUGGUGUCUUGAAAACAGAUAAAAAUCCAGUAUGAAUAUACGAGGUGUGCAGGAUGAAGAUGAGCAUGGCAAUCUUGAGGAAAGAAUCCCUUCUUUCAAACUGACUAUUGCUCAUAAACUUGGCAAAUUCGACCAUCCCCUCCUCUGAAUGGACAAACGGACCUGCUACUGAAAUUGGGUCUGCACUGAUACAUGGUGGAGUGAUGGCUGGUGGGAAGGGGUCGCUACUAAGUUCGUGCCAAUGUUCUGCAAGUUUACUCUUCAAGUGAAAACUUAUCUUUUACAAUCCAUUUGAAAGUUGACUUGGUAAUUUAUAUAUAUAUUUUCCAAGCAUUUGAAAGUUGACUUGGUAAUUUAUAUAUAUAUUUUCCAAGCAUUUGAAAGUUGACUUGCUAAACACGAGUAAUAAAUAUAAAUUAUCAAGUUAAUUCCUGAAAUAACUUGAUAAUAAAUAUAAAUUAUUGAAAGUUGACUUGCUAAAAGAUUUUUAUAUCCAAAUUAAUUCCUGAAAUAACUUCGAUUUAGGUUUAUAUAUAUAAAUUUUUAUAUAUAAAUUUAUAUAAAAAUCUUCCCCAAUUUUUAUAUAAAUUUAUAUAAAAAUUAAAUCCAGUAAUAUAAUUAGAUUUUUAAUAUACCAAUUUGAUUUAAUUAUCGGUCAAAUUAAAAGUUUAAUAAUGUUCAGGAAUUAAUUUGGAUCCAAUUAAAGGAUUUAAUUAGAUGCAAGGACUUAAUUAUACUUUAAAUGGGUCAAAUUAAUUUUAUUAGGGGUUUAAUUGGUGAAAAAAUAAUUUUGAAAACUUAAUUUGAGCUUAAUUGAGAAGAUUGAAAUUUAAGGAGACCAAAUUGAAUUUUUACCAAGUCAAUUGAUUCAAAUUGGGGGUAAAAUUGCAAGAAAAUCAAAAGUUUAGGGUCAAUUAAGGACUGAAUUGAAGAAAUUCGGCAUCCCUUUCAAAAACAUCAUUAGCUAUAAAUUUCUUUAAUUUAACCUCUAAUUGAAUUUAAAACUUUGAUUUUCUUGCUAUUUGACUCAUGAUUUGAAUUAAUUGAUUUUGUGAAAAUUAAGUUGGAUCUUCUAAAAUUUCAAUCUUCACAAUUAAGCUCGAAUCGGGUCUAAAAACUUAAUUUUUCACCAAUUAAGUCUCUAAUAAAAUUAAUUUGACCAAUUAAAAGGAUAAUCAAGUCCUUGCACCCAAUUAAAUAUUUUAAUUGAACUCAAAUUAAUUCUUAAAUAUAAUUAAAUUUUAAUUUAGCUCAUGAUUAAAUCAAAUUGGCUUAUUAAAAAUCUAAUUAUGUCUUUGGUGUUAAUUUUAAUACAAAUUAGUUUAAUAAUCAUUUAAUUUAACAUUAAAUCUGCAUUGUUUUUCUAGUUUUAGGUAUAAUAAAGUAUAAUUAUGCUUUAAAUUUUAGCAUGAUUUUUCUGUAUGUACCUGGGAUUAUUUUUGGCUAGCUUUCGCCGUAUAUUAUCCGUCUUCUUGUUAUUAUAACUUUUGUUUUUAUGAUUUUGUUACAAGUAAAAAAAAUAAAUUUUUAAAAAUAAUAAUAAACUAAAUUAUGACAGAUGAAUUGUUCAAAGCACGUUCGAUGAAUAAGUGGGAUGGAAUAGCUGUUGCUUGGUUAGUACAUCUUCUAUUUAAAGACAAAGAAAGACGUGUACUUUUUGUUCGUCCCUGAACAUAUUGUAUUUUGAAACAUCGUCGCAAUGCUAGUCGUUAAAGUAGUAGAGGUGGCAGAACAAGAUAAAUGGAUAACAGGCACCUCACCAACCAAUCAGUACCCUCGUUUACUAAUCCUACUAUAUCACACACCAAAAAUGGAUGUGUGCAAGAGGAUAAAAAUCAAAGAAAAGACCCUCAUUACCAGUGAAGUACAAAGUGAUGUGAAAAGACAUUGCGGCAUUAAUUUUGUUAAUUAUGGGUACAAGUAAAUAGAGCAUUGAUCAGAAAAGGGGAAAAAAGAAAAAAAAAAGAAAUUAAAUGGACCAAGCUUGGCCAAUUCAUAUGAUGUAAACAUCAAUGUCAUUUUCUUUUCUUUUGGCUUGACCUUCAAAAGAAUUUGGAAAAUUAAGAAAUUUAUCUUACCUUGAUCUUUCUAUUAACCACCUCUCUGGUCCCAUCCCUUCUUCUAUUGGAAACAUGACCAUGCUCACUGGUUUAGCACUAUAUCAAAAUAAUCUCACUGGUUCCAUCCCUUCUUUUAUUGGAAACUUAACAAGCCUAUCCGAACUCAAUCUUUGGGGUAACAAACUCUCUGGUUCCAUUCCUCAGGAAAUUGGGUUGCUAGAGUCUCUCAAUAUUCUUGACUUGGCAGAUAAUGUUUUAACUGGUAGAAUCCCUUAUUCCAUUGGAAAAUUAAGAAAUUUAUUUUUCCUUGGUCUUUCUUAUAACCAACUCUCUGGUCUCAUCCCUUCUUCUAUUAAGAACUUGACAAGUGUUUCUGAGUUCUAUCUUGAAAAAAACAAACUCUCUAGUCCUAUUCCUCAGGAAAUUGGGUUGCUAGAGUCUCUCCAUGUACUUGCCUUGGCAGGUAACAAAUUUCACGGCCCAUUGCCCUCAGAGAUGAACAAUCUCACCCAUUUGCAUGGUUUGGCUUUGGAUGGCAACGAAUUCACGGGUCAUUUGCCAGUAGAUUUAUGCCAUGGAGGAGUAUUGAAAAUCUGUACUGCUUCCAACAACUACUUCUCAGGUUCAAUCCCGGAAAGCUUGAAAAACUGUACUGGUUUAUACCGAGUAAGGCUUGAUCGUAAUCAGUUAACAGGAAAUAUUUCUGAGGUUUUUGGUAUCUAUCCACAUCUGAAUUAUAUUGAUUUGAGUUACAAUAAUUUUUAUGGCGAGCUUUCUUCAAAAUGGGGAGAUUGUCGUAACAUGACAAGCCUUCAAAUCUCAAAAAAUAAUGUUUCUGGUGAGAUACCACCAGAGCUUGGGAAGGCUACUCAAUUGCACUUGAUAGAUCUGUCAUCAAAUCAGUUAAAAGGAGGCAUCCCAAAAGAUUUAGGGGGUUUGAAGUUGUUGUACAAGCUUAUUCUUAACAACAACCAUCUUUCAGGUGCCAUUCCCUUAGAUAUUAAGAUGCUUUCCAAUCUUCAAAUCCUUAAUUUAGCAUCUAAUAAUCUGAGUGGAUUGAUUCCAAAACAACUUGGGGAAUGCUCGAAUUUACUGUUGCUGAACCUCAGCGGUAAUAAAUUUAGAGAAAGCAUUCCAGGUGAGAUAGGCUUUCUACUUUCUCUUCAAGAUCUUGAUCUUAGCUGCAAUUUCCUGACUCGAGAUAUACCGCGGGAACUUGGGCAACUGCAGAAGUUGGAAACUCUGAAUGUCUCCCACAACAUGCUUUCUGGACGGAUUCCGAGCACUUUCAAAGACAUGCUAAGCUUAACAACUGUGGAUAUCUCAUCCAAUAAGCUACAAGGCCCCAUUCCCGAUAUCAAAGCCUUCCACAACGCUUCAUUUGAGGCAUUAAGGGAUAAUAUGGGUAUAUGUGGCAACGCCAGUGGUCUGAAGCCGUGCAAUCUUCCAACAAGCAGCAAAACUGUUAAGAGAAAGAGCAACAAGCUUGUGGUUUUGAUUGUACUCCCUCUUUUAGGAAGCUUGCUUUUAGUGUUUGUUGUGCUUGGAGCUUUAUCCAUUCUCUGCAAAAGAGCUAGGAAGACAAACGCUGAGCCAGAAAAUGAACAAGAUCGAAACAUGUUCACGAUAUUGGGCCAUGAUGGGAAGAAGUUCUAUGAGAAUAUCGUUGAAGCUACAGAGGAAUUCAACUCCAACUACUGCAUUGGCGAAGGAGGAUAUGGAACUGUUUAUAAAGCAGUGAUGCCAACAGAACAAGUGGUCGCUGUGAAGAAACUUCACCGGUCACAAACAGAAAAGUUGUCCGAUUUUAAGGCUUUUGAAAAGGAAGUUUGUGUGCUGGCAAAUAUUCGACAUCGAAAUAUUGUGAAAAUGUAUGGAUUUUGCUCACAUACAAAGCAUUCUUUUUUGGUUUACGAGUUCAUAGAAAGAGGAAGCUUGAGAAAGAUUAUAAGCAGUGAGGAACAAGCAAUUGAGUUCGAUUGGACGAAAAGGCUAAACGUUGUGAAAGGGGUGGGUGGAGCUUUAUCCUAUCUACACCAUUCUUGCUCUCCUCCGAUCAUUCAUCGAGACAUUACCAGCAAUAAUAUCCUUCUGGACUUGGAAUAUGAAGCACACGUCUCCGACUUUGGCACCGCUAGACUGUUGAUGCCUGACUCAUCCAAUUGGACCUCAUUUGCAGGUACCUUUGGAUAUACUGCUCCAGGUAAGUAGCUUUAUUUCAACGUUAAGUUACUAAUGCGUAAUAGUGAAGAUAAUAUAGUGUUUUUUCAGCUUUUAUUAUAAGGUCUUUUCUUUCAACUAUUUGAUAAAAAAAACCAUGCAUAAUCAUGUUUUUUUGGCAGAGCUAGCUUACACAAUGAAGGUGACUGAAAAAUGCGAUGUCUAUAGCUUCGGAGUGGUAACAAUGGAGGUGAUGACAGGAAGGCACCCCGGCGAUCUCAUUUCAGCACUCUUAUCACCAGGAUCUUCGUCGUCAUCAUCGAUGCCACCGAUUGCUCAACAUGCACUAUUGAAGGAUGUGUUAGACCAACGCAUCUCGCUUCCUAAAAAAGGAGCAGCAGAGGGCGUUGUCCACAUGAUGAAAAUUACACUUGCAUGCUUGCAUCCCAAUCCCCAAUCUCGGCCUACAAUGGAAAAAAUUUCUUUCGAGCUUACAACUAAGUGGCCUCCACUGCCUCAGGCAUUCGGCACAAUAAGUUUGGGAGAUCUCUUCUCAUAGAGUAUAGCUACUUCUAUUCGAUUAUCAAUUGGAACAAUAAUUAUCUGUAAUAUGAAUUUUAUCAUCGAACUUUUUUUCUUUCAAAUUAUGUUGGCACUGUUUUAUGCGUUAGAAUUUGUUUUCUUUGCAUGAAGGGUUUGAGAAUAUUAUUUUGAUUCUAAAUUGAAGAUCAAUACACUACGGAAUGAAAUUUUAAGUUAUCGCUGAAACAAUUAAAAGAACAAUGAAAAAAAAAAAAAAGAGCUUCAGUAGGCAAAAUAAUCAACUGUAAGAAGGUAGUUUCUAAUGAAAUGAAUUUCCAUCAUUUCAUUAGAAAAUUCAAACCCAAAGAACAUGAUAACAGUCUAUAUAGACUAUCGAUCAAACCCAAAGAACAUGAUAACAGUCUAUAUAGACUAUCGAUAAAGGCUACCAUUCAACCAUGAUGAGAGGAUUGAAGCUUCAAUAAUACCAUUCAAUGUAUUAUUAACCCGCUUUAGAAUGCAGAACACUAUAAUACUCUUAAUAUUUUUUUAAAAAAUUAAUAUUAACCCGCUGUAGAACGCAGAACACCUCUCCCCUCCCCUUGAUCGAAUAAGUAACUGCUCUACAUGGUAUUUGAUAGGCCACUUCGAAGAGCUGCACCCUCUCCCCUCCCCUUGCUCGAAUAAGUAACUGCUCUACAUGGUACCUCACAUUCCCAUUAGAUACUUUCCAUGCGAGCUGUUUUUGUAUGAUUUUAUUACUAGGUGGGUCAAAUCUUUCGUUCGGACAUGCCCUGAAAUGUUAGAAAAAAUCCAUGCUGGAUCUCUUUUUUGGGGCUAAAUCUGACGACCACCUCCUAUCUUAUUUCUUAAGACUUGUAGGCAUACCACGUCGCAUUCCAGAUUAUUCAAAUGCUUAUGCUGGAUGAAAUGUUUCUCCAAGUCCUCCUACGUAUUUCUUAGGGACUUCUAGGAGAGAGACAUGAAGAGAAGGAAAAAUCAGGGUCUGAAAGAAUCUCUCUACAUGGUUUGCAAACGUACUGUCAAUGGUUGUGACUGGGACUUCACAGAAGAUCCUUAUGAGAAUGUCAUACGGGAGCUGAUAUGUGACAUGCCAUGGAAUGGUUUGCAGCUAUCUGCUGCUGCUUCAGAGUUCAGUUACCAUACAAACACUAAAGCUUGAUCGAGUUGGAAAGCCAAGAGGGUUUUGAUCUCUCUUUGUGGUCUUUUCAGCCUUUUAUUUUUCUAAAGUAUUUGCGUACGGAUUAACUUUUUCAAUGCUAAGCACAAGAAAAGAAACAUUUCAAAUUUACCAACCAGACAGGAAACAUGUAAAAAGACAGUACCUAGCAUUGCAUUACCAUAGCAUGAAACUUCAAAUACUAUCACAUACAGAUCUUACAAGCUCAGGACUCGAGUACAGUUUUCUACUUUCUCUUCAAGAUCUUGAUCUUAGCUGCAAGAUCUUGAUCUUAGCUAAGAUCUUGAUCUACUUUCUCUUCAAGAUCUUGAUCUUAGCUGCAAUUUCCUGACUCGAGAGAUACCGAGGCAACUUGGGCAACUGCAAAGGUUGGAAACUCUGAAUGUCUCACACAACAUGCUUUCUGGACGGAUUCCGAGCACUUUCAAAGACAUGUUAAGCUUAACAACUGUGGAUAUCUCAUCCAAUAAGCUACAAGGCCCCAUUCCCGAUAUCAAAGCCUUCCACAACGCUUCGUUUGAGGCAUUAAGGGAUAAUAUGGGUAUAUGUGGCAACGCCAGUGGUCUAAAGCCGUGCAAUCUUCCAACAAGCAGCAAAACUGUUAAGAGAAAGAGCAACAAGCUUGUGCUUUUGAUUGUACUCCCUCUUUUAGGAAGCUUGCUUUUAGUGUUUGUUGUGAUUGGAGCUUUAUUCAUUCUCUGGAAAAGAGCUAGGAAGAGAAACACUGAGCCAGAAAAUGAACAAGAUCGAAACAUAUUCACGAUAUUGGGCCAUGAUGGGAAGAAGUUGUAUAAGAAUAUCGUUGAAGCUACAGAGGAAUUCAACUCCAACUACUGCAUUGGUGAAGGAGGAUAUGGAACUGUUUAUAAAGCAGUGAUGCCAACAGAACAGGUGGUUGCUGUGAAGAAACUUCACAGGUCACAAACAGAAAAGUUGUCCGAUUUUAAUGCUUUUGAAAAGGAAGUUCGCGUGUUGGCAAAUAUUCGACAUCGAAAUAUUGUGAAAAUGCAUGGAUUUUGCUCACAUGCAAAGCAUUCUUUUUUGGUUUAUGAGUUCGUUGAAAGAGGAAGCUUGAGAAAGAUUAUAAGCAGUGAGGAACAAGCAAUUGAGUUCGAUUGGAUGAGAAGGCUAAACGUUGUGAAAGGGAUGGGUGGAGCUUUAUCCUAUCUACACCAUUCUGUUGUAUUAAACUCAAUCCAUCUAGAAGGUCAAGGAAGGCAGCCACCAGCUGUCACCGCCCAGCCACCAACCGCCCAGCCGCCAUCCGCCAGCCACCAGUUGUUUGCCGCCACAGCCGCCAGCCGCCUUCACACUUGAAGGUUGAAUUAUCUUGUUUUGAAUUUGUGUAUAAAUAGCAAGCUAAGCUUAUGUUAUUGUGAAGAUAAUAUAGUGUUUUUUCAGCUUUUAUUAUAAGGUCUUUUCUUUCAACUAUUUGAUAAAAAAACCAUGCAUAAUCAUGUUUUUUUGGCAGAGCUAGCUUACACAAUGAAGGUGACUGAAAAAUGCGAUGUCUAUAGCUUCGGAGUGGUAACAAUGGAGGUGAUGACAGGAAGGCACCCCGGCGAUCUCAUUUCAGCACUCUUAUCACCAGGAUCUUCGUCGUCAUCAUCGAUGCCACCGAUUGCUCAACAUGCACUAUUGAAGGAUGUGUUAGACCAACGCAUCUCGCUUCCUAAAAAAGGAGCAGCAGAGGGCGUUGUCCACAUGAUGAAAAUUACACUUGCAUGCUUGCAUCCCAAUCCCCAAUCUCGGCCUACAAUGGAAAAAAUUUCUUUCGAGCUUACAACUAAGUGGCCUCCACUGCCUCAGGCAUUCGGCACAAUAAGUUUGGGAGAUCUCUUCUCAUAGAGUAUAGCUACUUCUAUUCGAUUAUCAAUUGGAACAAUAAUUAUCUGUAAUAUGAAUUUUAUCAUCGAACUUUUUUUCUUUCAAAUUAUGUUGGCACUGUUUUAUGCGUUAGAAUUUGUUUUCUUUGCAUGAAGGGUUUGAGAAUAUUAUUUUGAUUCUAAAUUGAAGAUCAAUACACUACGGAAUGAAAUUUUAAGUUAUCGCUGAAACAAUUAAAAGAACAAUGAAAAAAAAAAAAAAGAGCUUCAGUAGGCAAAAUAAUCAACUGUAAGAAGGUAGCAGCAAGACCCAGUCUACCAUCCAAUGAAUUUCCAACUUGAUGUUGAAUUUUCUAAUGAAAUGAAUUUCCAUCAUUUCAUUAGAAAAUUCAAACCCAAAGAACAUGAUAACAGUCUAUAUAGACUAUCGAUAAAGGCUACCAUUCAACCAUGAUGAGAGGAUUGAAGCUUCAAUAAUACCAUUCAAUGUAUUAUUAACCCGCUUUAGAAUGCAGAACACUAUAAUACUCUUAAUAUUUUUUUAAAAAAUUAAUAUUAACCCGCUGUAGAACGCAGAACACCUCUCCCCUCCCCUUGAUCGAAUAAGUAACUGCUCUACAUGGUAUUUGAUAGGCCACUUCGAAGAGCUGCACCCUCUCCCCUCCCCUUGCUCGAAUAAGUAACUGCUCUACAUGGUACCUCACAUUCCCAUUAGAUACUUUCCAUGCGAGCUGUUUUUGUAUGAUUUUAUUACUAGGUGGGUCAAAUCUUUCGUUCGGACAUGCCCUGAAAUGUUAGAAAAAAUCCAUGCUGGAUCUCUUUUUUGGGGCUAAAUCUGACGACCACCUCCUAUCUUAUUUCUUAAGACUUGUAGGCAUACCACGUCGCAUUCCAGAUUAUUCAAAUGCUUAUGCUGGAUGAAAUGUUUCUCCAAGUCCUCCUACGUAUUUCUUAGGGACUUCUAGGAGAGAGACAUGAAGAGAAGGAAAAAUCAGGGUCUGAAAGAAUCUCUCUACAUGGUUUGCAAAUGUACUGUCAAUGGUUGUGACUGGGACUUCACAGAAGAUCCUUAUGAGAAUGUCAUACGGGAGCUGAUAUGUGACAUGCCAUGGAAUGGUUUGCAGCUAUCUGCUGCUGCUUCAGAGUUCAGUUACCAUACAAACACUAAAGCUUGAUCGAGUUGGAAAGCCAAGAGGGUUUUGAUCUCUCUUUGUGGUCUUUUCAGCCUUUUAUUUUUCUAAAGUAUUUGCGUACGGAUUAACUUUUUCAAUGCUAAGCACAAGAAAAGAAACAUUUCAAAUUUACCAACCAGACAGGAAACAUGUAAAAAGACAGUACCUAGCAUUGCAUUACCAUAGCAUGAAACUUCAAAUACUAUCACAUACAGAUCUUACAAGCUCAGGACUCGAGUACAGUUUUUUAUCAAAUUUUUUGACUUGAUUCAAUUUCCUAGAGCCCUAAAUGUCUGUCUACACAUCAUGUAAUUAAAUAUCAAGUUGAAACAAACGGUAUAUUCGUAUACUGACUAGUUGCUUGCAGAACGUGCACAGUGCACGUUCUGCAUGCAAGAUGAUGAACAGUAAACAGAGAUAAGGGUCAGAGGGCUGACCUGUGGUGGCUCUGAAGGCGGUGCUGCUGGCGGUUGCUGACCGGAGGAUGACCGGGAGGGUGAUCGGCCUUUCUUCCUUUCUUCUCUGCUGUUUUCUUCUUCAGCUCUGUUCUCCCCUGUUUCCUUUGCUUCUUCUGUCAACCAUGUUCUUCCUUCUCUGCAGCGGCUUCUCGGAGGUGCUGGUGGUGGUGGAGAGGAAAGCGACGAUGCCUCCCGGUGGUUAUGAAGGUGGCAGUGGCUGGGAAGUCCAAUGACAGCAGCUGUUUUCUUCUUCUUCUCCUGCUGCUCGCGAGGCAGGCGCUCCCUUUUUCUUCAAGCAGCAGCGCCGGGUGGGAGGAAGGUGAUGAACUGAGGCAGGAUGGUGGUGGCGUUUGGCAAUGCUGGUGCAGUUGGCGUGUUACUGCAGCUGUUCUCCUUUGUUUUCUCUUCUCCCGUUCACAACUGAACUUCUCCUCCUUCCUCUCCAAAAAACCACCCCUGUUGUUUCAGCGUUGCUUGGCCCCUUUCUUCCUUUGCUUCUUUCCCGUUCCCCUCUCUUUUGU